rnacentral:lncRNA from 1 species
AACAACCCAUCCACAACAUCUGGAAAGCCAUCAAGAUUAUAACAAUAUGAAAGGUCAAGUUCUUCUAGCGAAUCCAACUUGAGAGGUGGAAUACUUAUGAGAUUGUGAGUUUGUGACAACUUUCAACAAGCAGGGUUUUGAGAUUUCCAAGAAACCCAUCCAACACAAGUGGAAAAUUCUCGAGACUAAAACAUUGCGAAAGAUCGAAUUUUUCUAAAGAAGUCAACUUAAGAGGUGGAAUACUCCUUAGAUUUAAGCAUCUUCUAACACUCAUUGUUUUAAGUUUAUCCGCCAACCCAUCCACCACUGGUGGAAAACUCUCAAGACAUGAACACUCUGAAAGAUCAAGUUCUUCUAGAGAAGCCAAGUUGAGAGGUGGAAUACUCCUGAGCUUGAUGCAACACAUAACUCUUAAGGUUUUAAGUCUACCUAGCAACCCAAUGGAGUCAUGGACUGUGAUUAAAUUCACACAACCUUGAAAGGAAAAUUCUUCUAAAUUUACGAGACCAGAUACGUCAGGUAUCUGUGUUAAAAGCCCAUGGUGAUCAAAAUUCAAAACCCUCAUAUAUUUGAACUUCUGCAGAAAUAAAAAGAUAGGAACCAACAAAGAAUUAAGAAAUAAAUGAAAGUGGAUUUACUAAUAUACGAUGGGAACCCUCAUAAUCAAAUAAAAGAUAGGAACCCUCAUAAUCAAAUAACAGAUAAGCAGGAAUAGCAUAAUCCAAUCUCAUGUAAUGAAUCAAAAAUAGAUAAAUUCCACACAUACAUCAUCACCACAAUCCAAGUCUCAUCGACAUAUAUUCAACGAACACAUCAUCAUUAAUAACCAUCAUUCACAAUUCCACCAAUUUCAUAAGUUCAUCAAUUCACAUAGUUACUCAUGACAUGAUACAAUAAUCCAUCAAACACAAACAUCACCAUUAAUCACUUACAACCACACGUACAUCAAGUAAUUUCACAACUAGGACUCAUGUCACCUCAUGAUAUGAUCCUAGACACGACACCUAUAUGCAUGCGGUACCGGUCAUCACCAAUAUUUAGGCCGUCGCCCAUCAUCACCAAAAUCAUCACCAAUAUGGAUACAUAAAAAUAUCCGUCAUCACCAAAUAUGUAUGCAUGAACAUAUGACUCAAUAAUAAUGCAUAUGUCCACACAACAACUCUCCAUAUCAUCACCAAUAUUUAUUUGCAUUUAUGCAAUCACACAAAUAAUUCAUCACCACAUACAUAAUCAAUACUAUAUCAUAAUAACAAUGUAUGUGGACUCACCAAUAUCAUCUCAUUCAUGUAAUUGAUAUCAAAUACAUGAUUUGCUCACAUUCCAAGUAAAAAGGAAGAAUACAUCACCUUGAGAUAACUUCUCAUUCAACAUUCAAUUAAUAAUCAAGUACUUCCAUAUAUUAUACAAAAUUAGUCAUGAAAGAUUUAUAAGACGAUUGGCUUGAUAAAACAUCCCCGGUCAAAACCCAUAUCAAGUUUGGAAAGGUUUCACGGCUCAAAGAAAAAGUUACGGUAAGUUUUCACGAAAAUCCACAUAACCCACACUUAGUAAUUUAAUCAUAACUCUCAUUCUAAAAAUCAUUUGGACGUCAAACCAAAGCCAAUAGAAAGCUAACAUAAUUGUCUACAACUUUCAUGUUUACCCAAAAGUCCAAAUCAAAACAGAAAUAUGAGAAAAUGAUGCAAGAACGCGAAACGGGGAAAACUGGCACUGAGCAGUUCGCCUGACGGGGGAAAACGCUCGCCCUGGCGAGGCAAGCCAGUCGCUGCUCGCCACCAUCUCGCCACUGGCUCGCCUGGCGAACAAGCCCAGUAGCUGCUCGCCAGUAGCUCGCCUGGCGAGCAAGCCUAGUAGCUGAAAUUCUGUUUUACGGGAAAAAUCCAUUUUCACCCUAAAAUCCCAAAUUUUUGACUUCCCAAUACCCAAAUUGAUCCCAAAGUUUGUCUAAAUGUUUCUAACCAUGAAAGGACCCUCAAAUCCAUAUAAAAACUUGAAUUAAACAUCAUCUUAGCAAAAAUCACCAUUUAACUCAUUUUAUCAAAACAACAACAACAACUUGUUUCUCAUCACCAAUCCAUGAAUAUGCAUACCCAAGUCAUGAUUCACCCACAACAACAUCAAUUGAACAUGAAUCAUAUCUCAUUUCAACAACAACUUAGCAAAAUUCACCAAUUGAGUACAAUUUCAUAACUUGACAUUUAUGCAUACUUUGAAACAUGUAAUUUCACCCACAAUCAUACAAUUAUCAUCAAUUCAUACAUAAGAAAAUAACAUCACAGCUAGAGCACGAAUUUAACAACAAUUAUCCAUCACCCCAUUUUCAUACAACAAUGAGAAAUUGCAAUAAUUGAACAUGAUUAUGAUGAAGACUAACCCACUUAUGUUAGAUAAUGAUUAAUCCAAACUUAGGCUUCAAUUUAGCUCCUAAGCUCACCCCAAUUUGAUUCUUCAAGCUCUUCUCUCCAAACCCUUAUCUUCUCUUCACCACUUUCUCUCUCUAGAAAUAUCUUGUGAAAUGAAAAGAAUGAUAUUUCCCUAAGACAACCCCCAUGUUAUCUCCCUUAACGGGCUUAACUUAGUUUCUAGUGGGCUUAACCAAUUUCUAUUCAAACCAAAAUAUUUCUACACUCCAAACGACAUUUUAACUAAUAAUGGUAAAAUAUCACUAACGAUCACUAAACGGUAAAAUCUCAAUUUACUCUAGUAACUUAAUGAAAUAACUAUUCUCACUAAUCACUAAAAGUAAUUCCCACCAAAACUAUAAUUUUACCCGUUCUCACAAAUGACCAAAAUACCCUUUUAACACGGAAACCCAUGAAAAUGCACCCAAUGACAGAUAAUCGCAUGCAAACACAUAUAACACAUAUAAAAUAAUUAAAAAUAAUUUUAACGGAAAAUCGGGCUGUUACAUCAUAGCUAUUGAAAGUGGAAAAAAACCGCCGAAACCACAAAAGGAGUCAAACAAAGCGGCGCCUAUUUUGUUGGACACUCCCUAAAAACAAAAGCAACAAUUUGAAUUUAUUGCGGAAAAAUGAGGAAGAUUCUAAUUCACUUGAUCUUCCCCAGUCACUUGGUCUUUAAUGAGUGAUUUUUUUGUCGAUGUUAGUCCUUUUUUUGGUAGAAAUCACACCGACGUAUAUUUUAGGAUCGAAAUUGUAACACCAAUUUUUUGUGGCCAAUAUAUAAUUAACAUUAUGUAAUUUAUAUUGAUAUAUAUGAUAAUAUGACUUUUAUAUGGUGAAACUCGUGCAAUAUUUAUUUAUUCGUUAUUAAUGUUUACACACUUGAUUUAUUCGUUAUUACAUUUCAUUUAAUUUUGUUCUAAUCUAUGAUUCUUUUCUUAAAGAUUUUGUCAAGUGAAACAUGUCCGAGGUUGCAAAAAUUGAAGGUCGUGUUAGGUACUCCACUUUUAAAAAGACAAUUAAGGUUAUGAGAACACCGACAGACUCUCUUGAUGAUUUGAAGGCACAACUUAACACUUAUUUUGAGCAUCUUGGUGAAAAUCAAUAUACACGUCACUUGUUUGGUCAAAUGUCAUGCAUAGACCUAGGGGAAGAUAGAGAUGAAUACGCAUGGAAAACGGCAAGCUAUAUGCCUUGGCUUAUUCGUGACGAUAGCGAUGUCAGAUUUAUGUUUCGGAAUAUGGUGGAAGUUAAUAUAUUAUAUAUGUAUGUUCGUUCCAUAUGCAAUUGCGUUGAAUGUAAGUAGGGAUUUAAUUUAAUGAUGUGUAAUGAGUUGUAAUGUGUUGUUUAAUUAUGGACACUGUGUAACGUUUUGAUGAAUUUCAAACUUUUGUGUAUUUUGAACCAAAUGUCGGUUUGAUUUAAUUAUGGACAAUUGUAAAAGAUAUUGUAUUUUACUUGUUUAUGACUGAGUUUAAAAGUUGUAUAAGUUAUAUUGCCUUUGAAAAUGCUCUGGUUAAAUUACAGAUAAAAACUGGCCGAAAAAUGGCUUGGAAGUGCUUUGGAAUUAUGCAAAACCCACUGUCUGCAUAAAUGUUCAAAAGCGUAUUUUACUCGUGUUUCUCAGCCUUAUGAAAUGUGUCAAACACAAUUUUCGAACGAUAAAAUGAUAAAAUGUUACUAAAUCUCUUUAAUAACACAAGCUUUACCUAACAAUUGUUCAAAUGUUACUAAAUUUAAUUAGUAACAUUUUUCUUUUGAUUUCGUUACAAUUUUCAAUUGUUACAAGAUCUCAAUUAUGUUGUAGUGUUGUAAUGUAUACACAUCAUCGCAAUAAAAAGAGUAGUACAAACGGGUACGGAGUGCCCGUCUAAAACGUUAGUAAUUUUUUUAAAGAAAAAAGAAAUAGAAAAUAAAUUAAUAUUAUUAUAAUUAUUAAAAACAAAAGAUAUUUCCUACGUAAAAAGUAGUGUUUUAGUUGAUUGGCAGCCAAAAAACUUGUAGUUAGCUACAAAUACAAUCCGUAUAAAAAAUUUGGUAGCAACUAGCGUAUUUUGUUGAUUUUUCUUCCAGUGCCUUUUACGUAACAUUACUUUUCUUGAAUGCGAUUUUUGGGUGCUUGUUGAUGCAUGGCAGGCUUUAAUCCUUGAUUGUUUUGUUCCAAAAAUGUUAGAGAGAGAUAAACUCAUAGAGAAGUGGAGAGAAAAUGGAAAAAUAAUAGAAAAAAAAUGGUAGAAGGAUGGUAAGAACAUUCAAGGGUAACUGAGCAUAUAUAACGUCAUCCAAACCAAAAAUCCAAAUCAAUUCAAUUAUUACUAAAUAAAACAUAACAUCAAGCAUGAAUAGAACUUCAGCAUGACACUUGCUCCAAUGGGUGGAUUGGUUUCCAGUUUCCAUCACUAAUAAAAGAUGAAAAAUAUCAUAACAAGUCUUAGUAAGAAAUUUUGUUCCGCGGUAAAAGGGAAACAAAGAUAAUUCUACCUAGAGCAACAUAAAAAUAGUACUGCUGUAUAAAAUAUAAUGUAUGAAACUACAAGCCUUAACAUAAAAAUAUCACCAAAUAAUAGAAGGAAAACUUAAGUGCGAAUAAUGAUCGAAAUUGUGUUACGCAAUUCCAAUCCCCCCUAAGAAUCUCAGUUUACAUUUCUUACACUCCCUCUAUGUGCCAGCCAAGAUAUUCACUAUAGCUGGUUGUUCUAACCAAACCAAUGAGUGCAAAAAACCAACCAAUAAUCAUUUGCAACAUAGCAAUUACCAUUCAACAAAAACCCUUCAUUCAUCUUCUUUGAUCACAUUGCUGUGAAGUCUUGAUAGAACCGAGUCCAAAUCUAAUGCAUUCUUGACACUGCAAAGCCAGAAGAAACCGCCUUCCUGGAAAGCCGGUCUGGCACAAUCUUUUCCAAAAUCUCAAUCUGUUCCUCAGCUACUCCUAUUGGGAGGACAAGAUUAGUUAGCUAGAUUGUUUAUUACUGGGAAAUUGUGUGAAUUAUAAUAAAAUAGAAUUAGAACAUACCAAAUAGUCAAUCACAUUAACCAGUUCCACCAAUGAUGAAGGAGUGUUAUCCGAUGCAUCCAAACCAGUUUGAUCUACAUUGGUUUCCCAAAAGGAAUGACUAAGGCUCUCUUCUACCUGCAUUGAGAAACCAAUUAACAAGAAGUCAAUUACUUAAACGAAAGAAAAAAUUGCUUUUACAAUAAAAUUGCAUUUGAAAGGUACAAAAUAAAAUAAUAAAUGAAUAUAAAAGUAUGAUUUUAAGAACAAGUCCAAAACAAAAUGGCAUACCUCCCGAGAUAGGGAAACCAAAUCAAAAGAUUUUCGGUCCUCAGAACAUCCUCUGCUUGGUUUAAUUUUGACAUGUCUACUCUAUUGUCCAAAUCAUCACCGCCUUCUGUGAGUGUAAAGGCGAGCACUCUUUUUGCAGGCUUAAAACACAAUGCAAAUUUACAGGUCCAUCUUUGGAAAUCAACUUACAAGCUCUUCGUCUAAAUGGCUCUGGGUAGUGUGGUUGUGGAGUAUGAUAUUAGAAACCUUAUAUCCACAAUAAAAAGCAAAACCAAAAAACUAAAAUCAAAAUUGAAGUGAUGAAAUCAAUUCUUUUGCAACAGUCACACUUUCAAAUUUCUUUACUUAACUAAGAACAAAAAUAAAUAUAGCUGUGGCAGACCCAAAUAAACGUAUGUGAUUGCAAUACUUUGGAGCUACAUUUUAACAUAUACCCACCGCAGAGUACCAUGCAGAUAAUGAAAACCAAAAUGCAAUCACAUUAGUAAUCAUGAAUUCCAAAAUCUUGGGACUAUGUUACCAAAAAAUGAUAGUAUGACAUUGAUUACAUUGGAUCGCAUCAGAAGUAUAACUCAGACACAACAACCAAUGAAGUUCUCGUACUCCCUCAAAUUGAAUUUAUAAAUGUGAACUCUAAACAUCUAAAAUAACAAUUCAAAUCAAAGCUAACAAUCGAGUAAGAUCACAUAUACCAUCGUUAAGAUAGCAUAAAUUGUUCCGAAAAAUACAGAAAAUACAAUUAACAAGAGUAAUACCCUUAAAUCAAAAAAUGUGACCUCAAGAUGCAUAUUAAAAAAAAAGUCUGGAAAAAAAACGUCGUAGAAGAGGCAAAUCAAGGAGUAUAUAUUUCAUCUGCGCUAGAUGAAUAUAUGAGAAGUUUCUGAAAAUAAAACACACUACCGUUAUUCCAAAAAAAAAACAAUGGUCCCUUCGUUAAUCUAUCAUUAAAAGAAAAGGGAUACUAUAUAGUCAUUAAAAACACACAAAGUGCAUAUUUGGUUUCACGGUCUUUUCGUUAAUCUAUCAUUAAAAACACACGAAGUGGAUAUUUGGUUUCACGGUGAGUUUACCGAAAUCAAGGUAACCAUGAUUUUGUAGAAGCUCCAAAGCGUAGCUUAUCCAAAAUCAGGGUGGCGCAACGACAUUCUGUCAAACUCACCGUGAAUCCAAACAUACACUAAACAAUAUGAUUGAAUGCGGAAAUCCAAAAAAUCACCAUUUGAGGUAGUCAUAAUCGGCAUAAAAUGUCAUGGCACUCUCAUCUUUCACAAAUUAGCCAUGACAAUUGCGAAAAAAGUCUGCCAACACAAUCCAUAAUUUUUUACAACACCAAGACUAAAAUUCAUCUGCACAUGGUGCACUUAUGCACAAACACACGUCGAUAUCCAUCAUAAUUUGAGAAAAUGACAUGAUUCAAUGUAACCACAUGUGUUGGUGUAGACAUGAUUCGAACACAACACAUGCCUUCGAUCAGAAAUGUCGGUGGUACAAAGUUUUAACUAGGGAGAAUAUCAAAAUACAACCUUAAACUGGAUAGUAUCUUAGCAAUAACAUCAACCUUGUGUCAAAUAUUUGAAAAGUUGGAGACUUUUUACCCAGACGCAGCAAUCUAGUGAUAGUCCAACCUAUAAUUGUGAUUUGGUGAUCAACACUACAGGAAGAAAAUUUAUGACUUUUUGGGUAAAAUGAAUGAUAUACUUACUUCAACAUCCCUAGAGUAAAAUAAAAUCAACCUCUGGAUUGGUGAAUCUAAUAUCCUUCAUGUUACUUUUCUCUUUCGAUACAUGAAUUCCACUUUUCUGGAAUGGUAAUCCAAAAUCAACCUCUGCAUGGUUCCACAUAUUUUCAAAAAGUACUUUUUCCAUAUUAUCAUUAAAGUUUUCCAUUUUCAUAUGAAAAAGAUGCAAAUGAUACAUAUUCAGCGGUGAUUUCGUACCCAUCUUCAAACCAUCUGUGUAGAUAAAUGUAUUUCCAUUGAUGAUCACUCUUAUAGAAUGACGUCGAGAACCAUCCCAUGUUAAUGGAGAAACAACACAGAGAGCUAUGGCAGGAAACUUGUUACGAAACCAGAAAGAAAUUGACAAUCCGGCCUCGUAUUUGUGGUCAAACCACUCUGGAAUUUUUGGCACCCGUGGCAAACAAAACCAAGUGUUUCCAGCCUUAUGUAAUUCCUGUUAGUUAUAAAUAAUUCAAGUUUAACUAUAUCAAAAAGAAUAUAAAAUAAAUUACAAAUAAAAACAAAAUAAAUCAUAAACCUGAUUUAGUAAUUUGCUUGUGCACGAAGAAGUCAACGACGUGCAGUUUACAGCAGAUAACAUUCUUAAGCAUGGAGGAAUCACUUUAAUUUCCUGAAGUUCCUUACAAUCAUCCAACACGAGUUUCCAUAAUCUGUCAGCCACAAGUGAAAAACUUUGAAGACUAUAACAACAUGAAAGGUCAAGUGUUUCUAGUGCAUCACACUUCAGAGGUGGAAUACUCUUAAGAUUGUGACAGUUUGUAACAAGUAGGGUUUUAAGUUUUCCAAGAAACCCGUCCACCACAAGUGGAAGACUCUCAAGACUAACACAAUUUGAAAGGUCAAGUGUUUCUAGUAAAUCCAACUUGAGAGAUGGAAUACUCCUUAAAUUGCGACAACUUUUAGCACUCAGGGUUUUAAGUUUUCCAAGAAACCCAUCCACUACAAGUGGAAAAUUCUCGAGAUUAAGACAAUACGAAAGAUCUAGCUCUUCUAGCAAACUUAACAUGAGAGUUGGAAUACUUAUCAUAAUCCGACAACUUUUAACAUUCAAGGUUUUAAGUUUUCCAAGAAACCUUCCCUCCACUUGUGGAAAACUCUCAAGACUACCACAAUAUGAAAUGUCAAGUUUUUCUAACGAAUCCAACUUGAGUGGUGGAAUACUCCUGAGAUUGUGACAACUUUCAACAUUCAGAGUUUUAAUUUUUCCAAGAAUCCCAUCCACCACAAGUGGAAAACUCUCGAGACGAAAACAACAUGAAAGGUCCAUUGUUUCUAGUGAAUCCAACUUAAGAGGUGGAAUACUCUUUAGCUUGAAGCAUCCUCUAACACUCAUGGUUCUAAGCUUAUCACCAAACCCAUCUACCACAUGCGAAAAACUCUCAAGAUUAAUACAAUAUGAAAGAUCAAGUUUUUCUAGAGAGGGUAACAUGAGAGAUGGAAGACUGUGGAUUUCGGUGCAACUUAUAACCCUCAGGAUUUUAAGCUUACGCAAAGAUCCAACCGAUUCAUCAAUUGUGAAUAAUUUCCCAUAAUUUUGAAUUGAAAAUUCUUCUAAAUUUGGGAGACCAGAUAUAUCAGGUAUCUGUGUUAAACCGUCACUAUAAUAAAGUUUUAGAACUCUCAUAUUCUGGAACUUCUGCAACAAAACAAAAAAAUAAAACAGCAAAUAAAUAAGAAUUAUAUAUGAAUGAUAUUAAACCAGAAUUAUUAAUGGGUUAAAGAUAGAAAUAUGCUACACUUGCCAUUGUGAGAAAGCCCUCCCAUUUAAAUGGACACAUGUGAUUGCGGCAUUCCAACACUCUUAGACUAUUUGGAAGAUGUUUGGGAUUUUCAGAAAAAAAAACAUCAUUACUAAAAAUGAGUGUUUUGAGAUUUUCCAUCUUCUUGAAAGCUUCUCCAUCCCAUUGUACUUCAAUCACACCGUCGAAAUGUAUCAUUUCAAUUUUACUUGUUCCCUAUAAGCAAAAAAGGACAAAUCAACCAAAUAUAGAGUAGAACUGUAUACCACAUAUUUAAUGAUCUUUAAAUUUUAUUAAGAGUUUAAUUUAUAUAAACUUUCGGUGUUUAAAAUUAUGUAUAUGCAUAUAAUAUAAUGAUGUGUUGUUACGUAAACUAAUGAGAUAUAACGACACAUCAUUAUAUGUAUGUAUAAAUUGUGAAUAUUAAUAACAUAAAUAAUGCAGAAAGUCAAAAAGUAACUUGAGAAUUAGCUACAAUAACAAGUUAAAGAUGAAAAGCCCAAUCAUCCAUAUCGUUAUUACUCACUGUAUUUUCUUCUAAAACUUGAAUUAUAUCUUCGGAAAACCAUAACCUACUACGUUUUCCAGGAUCUUCAGGUGCUUCUUGUCUAACAAUUUCUUUUCCCAUAUCCUCUACCAAAUCAUGUAAUGUCACAUUACCAGACUCAUUUAUUUUUAUGAGAUACUUUUCCACUAACACAUUAAUUUGGUCUUUCAUGGUAUGACCAUGAUGAGCAUGAAGUAUUCCUUCAACCAUUGUCAAUUUCCAUCCUUUGAAGCAACAUGCAAUGUCAAGAAACACAAUCUUCUCUUCUUCCUGCAAAGAAUCAUAACUCAGUUGUAGUGUCGUUUGGAUCAUGUUAUGAGGAACUCUUUUGUAACGAUCUAGUGCAUCAUUACACUGUUCUAUUGUCUUAUUAGAAAAGUGAGAACCGAUGACUUCCAAAGCAAGUGGAUGACCAGAAGCAUAUGCUACGACACGUUUUAAUACAUUUGCGUAGCCUUCGUCGUUCUUCAAAUCUUUCAGUCUACGCAAUUUGUUUGCAUCAGAUUCUCUUCCAUACUUUUGUUCUAAUAAAACAUCUUUAUAGCGUGGACUACAAUCGUUUUUUAAAGUUUUCCAUCCUACCAAGUCAAAAGCAUCUUCAUCAUUCAAUCCCUUCACCUCAUAUAUUCUUUCAACUCCACUGCUAAUUAGCAAAUUUUUGUACCGAGUUGUGAUUAUUACUCUACUGCCUUUACGAAACCAAUUGGAACUUCCUGCAAUAGCCUUUAAUUGCUCCUUCUUGUCAACAUCGUCUAAAAGCAAAAGAACCUUCUUUUCUGGAAGCCUUUUUUUUAGUAUUGAAAUUCCUUCUCCAACACUUGUUAUCUCUGUGUUCUUCUCUCCAAAAAUAUGAGAUAGAAGGAUCUUUUGGAGAUAUAUCAACCCAUUUUUGUCAGAAUUUUCUCUAACUUUUUCAAGAAAACAGGAACAUUCAAAUUGACUGACAAUUGAAUUAUAAACUUCUAGAGCAAGAGUGGUUUUCCCUAUUCCACCAAUCCCAAGAAUCCCUACCUUGUGGAUUGAAUCGUCAGACCCAACAUUCAAAAGCAAAGUCACGUGUUGCUUUUGGUGCUCCACUCCAACAAGGAAGUCACCAGCAGGUAAGGCAACAGGUUUUAUAUUUCUUAAGACUUCUUCAACAAUCUUCUCAAUAAACUCAUGCACAUACCCAUCCCUGUCCAAUAAGAGAAAAUAGUUCAUUCAAGUGUGUAUGUCUAUGUUUUUAACUCAAAUCGUGUAUUAUUUGUUGAAAGAAAAAACCUAAAUUUUGUUUUUCCGCCCUCCGUCUAUCGCAAUUGACGAUUUUAGCCCCCACUUCUUAUGUUUGAUCCCUUAUGUUUAAUUUAGGUUUCAAGUUGGUCCCUUAUAUUUUAAAAGUUUCAAGUUGGUUCCUUACGUUUUAAAAGUUUCAAGUUGGUCCCUUAAGUUUUAAAAGUUUCAAGUUGAUCCAAAACAUGACUCACGUUGGAAUAAAUUAGUCCCUUCCACAACAUGAUAUUGAGGUUAAUAAAUCAAAAAAAAUGUUUUAAAACUGAUUUUCUAAAUAAGUUAAAUCCAAUCACCCAUAUUGUCAAUUUGAAACUUUAAACGGUCAAGUGACGGAAGGAACUAACUUAUUCCAAUGUGAAUAACGUUCUGAACCAACUUAAAAUCUUUUAAAACAUGAGAGACCAACUUAAAACCUAAAAUAAACAUAAAGCACCAAACAUACAAUUAAGCCUAGGAUUUUCCUCCACUUAGAUUUUCCCCAUAACUUAAUAGUUUCUCUCCCAAAAUUUAUGUUGAUGUGAUAUCAUUUGUACACUCAACACUUAUAAUCGGGUGACUUUUGUCAAAAUUAAAACAAAUGCUAAAAAUCAGAUUGUACACUUGCAAAUGAAUCAAACUUUUAAUUAAGGUGGCAGACAUUUUGAUAUUUUUUGGAGUUAGAUUUUUGGCUUAAUUAAACGUUUGAUCCCAUAACUUAAUUUUUGUUUUCGAUUUGGUCCUAUAACUCUAAAUUUUUUCCGUUUAGUCCCUCAUGUACAUCUCCGUUAGUGAAGUUAGUCCUGACCGUUAGUUUUUUAAUGUAUAAUAUGUAUGAUGUGAUUUUAACCACUGGAUUGCAGGUCCAUUGUAUCUAAUAGUGCACCAUCACCACAUAAUUUUCUUUUCUUUUCAUCACGUUUUCAUCUUCUUUCUCCUCACGUUCUCAUAUCUUCCUUCUUCUUCUCCCUCUAAAAAAUUCCAGAAAUGUAAAAAACACAACAACAACAAAUUCAACAUAACCCAGAAAUAACAACAACAACAACUUCAAUUUCCUUUUUCUUUUUCAGCUUCAAUUACAUUGGAUUCAAUUUGGGAAAAUAAUGAAGAAGGAAGAAUUUGAGGUUUUUUCAACAACAUCAUCACCAUCUAUCCAAAAUUCAGUCAUCAAUUCAACAACAACAUCAUAACCAUCUACCCAGAAUUCGAAUUUGGAAAAUAAGGGAAAAUUAGGGCUCAAUAAAAAUUGGGGCUUUUUGAAUAGAAGUUAUGAGGUUGUUGUUGUUGAAACGUGAGAUUGGAGGAAGAGAAGGAGGAGGUUGUUGUUGUUGCAAAGGGGUGAAAAGAAACCAAAUCUACAAAUACAAUUUUAUUUUGAAACUCCAGCCUUGCCAACAAAUCUUUUAUCUUCAAUUUUGAAACCCAAAUAAUAUAUAUUCAAAAAAAUCUACAAAUCCAGUGACCUCUCUUCCUUCAAUUUCAUCUCUAAUGACACUUCAAUCCCCUGCUCGUGGAUCUUGUCUUCUCUCUCUGUUACGAAACAGUGAUAGCGAAUUAUUUCUUCCCUCUCCUUUUUUCUUCGUUUAUGUUAUUUCUUUUUUUAAUUCAUGAUGAUGAUGAUGAUGAUGAUGAUGAUGAAAUGAACCAAAAAAGGGUUGUAUCUGGAGAAUGAAUGAUUCUGGGUUUUAAUGGAGAAUGAAUCUGAAUUUUAAUGAUAACCAUGGGUUGAAUCUGAAUUUAAUGGAGAAUAAAUGAGAAACAAUGGAUUUUAAUGGAGUAUGAAGCUGAGUUUUAAUUAUGAUUUUGGGUUGAAUCUGAAUUUUUUUAAAUGAUGAAUUUCAUUUUUGGUUGAAUCUAGUUUUAAUGAUUGAAGAAAAAAUGAAAGAGUUGAAAUUGGUGAAAUGGGUUUGUGUGAGGAUGAAAGAAAAGAUGGAAUGGGUUUGUGAAAUUGAAAUCGGUGAAAUGCCAGAGAGAGUGAGGAAAAAAGAGAGCUAUGUGACAAAGAAGAGAUGAAAGAAAAGAGAAUGUGAUAAAGGUGAAGAUGUUUGAAGAAUGUAUGAAUGAAUAUGAUGAUGAUGAAGAAUUUGGGUUUUUUUUAUCUCUUUUUUUGGAAUUUUUUUUUGGGUUUAUUGAAUUUUUGUAUGAGUGUAUGAAGAUGAGAAGGGAAGAAGAUGAAGAUAUGCAAAACAAAAAAAAAAAAAUUGAUGUUGGUGGUGCACCGAUGGAUACAAUAGAUCUCUAUAUUCUAACCAUUCCUUUUUUGAAAAAUAGAUCAAAGGGCUGGAAUUAAAAAAUUAAUAGGGUAUAUGGUGGAUCACCUAUAAUAUUGAUCCACCUAAUACAUUUGGAGUUAAAGUUUACUGAGAUCAAUUUGACUAACGGAUGUGUACAUGAGGGACCAAACAGAAAAAAUUUAGAGUUAUGGACCAAAUCGAAAACAACAAUUAAGUUAUGGGACCAAACGUUUAAUUAAGCCUAGAUUUUUUAAUUUUAAAAGAAAAAUCAUGAGUUGAGUGUCCAGUUAAUCAAUCAUGUCACCACAAUUUAAUUUUGAAGGAAAAAUAUGAGAGGGCUACCAAAUCAAAAAGGAGAAAAACAAAGGGGUCAAAAUCGUUCAAAAAAGAUUAGGGGCUCAAAUCACACAAUUAUGAUACUUGGAGGAUUAAAAGUGCACAUGAAACUAUUUAUUAUAACUAAAAUUGUCCUUGUUUAUUGUUUAAGGAUUUGAAAAUUAAUUAUGAAACAUAUUAUCGUAUAUUUUUAAUAGAAAAAUUAUUGCUUUGUUUGUUAUCAUAUUUCUCUUCAAAAAGGAUUUAUCAUUUGUGGUAGGUAAUUCUUGUAACGAUUCUUUUUAUUUUCGUUAUGGUAUCUCUUACCUCUUUAUGAUGUAACUUGAUUUUUCUCUUUACUUCUCUUCAAUACAUUUUGUGUAGGAAAAGUAAAGAUGUUCGUUUAUUGAAAUUUCAUUUUGGCUUUUUAAAAAAAAAAUUAUCUUUACUAUUUUGUGUGAAAAAAAAAUAAAUCAUUCUCCUUACUAUUUAACAUAUCAAUUAAGCUUCUAAAAAAAUAUACGUGAUAAAGAAAGACAAAUAACGGUAAAAGAUAUAUUAUCAAAAGAAAUAAAUUGCUAGUACAUUGAUAUUUAAAAUCACAAUCAGACAGACAGAACCAAUAUAUUUUUCAGAUGGUAGUUGGUGUAUGUGGUAAAAACUAACCCAGAUUUUAUAAAAAAAAAUAAAAAAAAAAUAAACCGUAGAUAUGAGUUAUAUAUUUUUUUUAGGGGAUGAAUUUAAAAUUUUGUCAAUGAGAAAGCAAAGUUUGUAAAUAAUAUAUAAUUAGCUCUAUAAAAUAUUAUAUUCUCUUUAAUUUUUAACUACACGAUUUACAUUUCGUCAACAAAAAAAACUGAGUAAAUAGUCAAUUUUCCCCUGAAAUUGUAAGUUUCAUCAAUUACCCCUCUGAAAUUAACAAAACUUCAAUUAUCCUCCUGAAAUUUCACAACGUUAGUCAAUUUACCCCCUCCGUCAAAUUUUUUUGUUAGUGAACAUGACGUUUUGCAAAUACCCCCCCUGAAGUUUUGCACUUAUGUGCAAAAUGCCCCCCAAACUUAAAAUUUUUUAUUAUUUUUUUCUUAAAAACAAACAAUUAAUAGUUAAAUAUUAAAACUAACUAUUAAUUUUGGAAUUUGGAAAAACUACAUGCAUAUAUACAUCAAAAUAGGCUCCAAAAUGGGGAAAAAUAUGUAUUUUUUAAAGUGACAAUAAUGGGAUGAUUUGUGGAUUAAUAUUGGGGGUUGUUUAGUUUAAAUGGUUUGAGCAAAUUGUUGAAGGAGUUGGAGGAGUUAAAAGACUAAGAUGGUGAAGGAGAAAAUAUAAAUUUAAAUCUGAUUAUUAAUUUGUUUAUAAACCUCUAAAAAUAAUAAUUUAUCUAUUAAAAAUAAUCAUUAUUGUCACUUUAAAAAUACACAUUUUUCCCUAUUUUGAUGUAUAUAUGUAUGUAGUUUUUCCAAAAUCCAAAAUUAAUAGUUAGCUUUAAUAUUUAACUAUUAAUUGUUUGUUUUUAAGAAAAAAAUAAUAUAAAUUUUUAAGUUUGGGGGGCAUUUUGCACAUAAGUGCAAAACUUCAGGGGGUUAUUUGCAAAACGUCAUGUUCACUAACAGAAAAAUUUGAAGGAGGGGGUAAAUUGACUAACGUUGUGAAAUUUCAGGGGGUAAUUGAAAUUUUACUCAAAAAAAACUACACGAUUUACAUAAAAAUUAUUAUACAAAUCGUGUAGUUAGAUAUUAUUAUAAAAAUUAUAUCUAACCGAGCAUGAUAAAGAACUAUACAGUAAUUUUAUCUCAAGUCGUGUAGUUAAAUUAUUAUAAGGAUAAAAUUUUGUCUCUUUAUUUUUAUAUUCAUCUAUCUUAAAUUGUGGGUUGGCGUCGCAAUGGUAAAAUUGUUGUCAGCUGAUCGAAAAUUUACGGUUUUAAGCUUUCAAUUAUUAAUACAAUAUUAUUAAUAUUUUAUCUAAGAGUUUAUGUUAUUAUUGUCAUUUAGUUUAUUAAAAAAUAAAAAUAAAUAUUCACCUUACAACUACAUUGAACUAUCAAAUAAAAUGAUAAACAAAUGAUAGAUAUAUACCUUUUCUCGUAAGGAAAUCCAGACAAAUUAGCAACUUGAUGAAGAGAGUCCUUCCAUUUAUUAUGACUGGAGGAGCUGGCCUCGCCAAGUUUAUCCAUCGCAUCUCCAUAUGUCCCUUUCAACUUUCGUACAUCAGAAGGAUCCACCUUAUAAAAUACUGGCAUAACAAAACGACCCACCUUAUCUUUCAUGGUAUCAAGGAUCUUUGAAAGUUCUUGUAAGCAAAAGGAUGAUGAAGCAUAAUUCUUAGAGAGGACAACUAUGGCGAUUUGUGAGUCUUCAAUUGCCUUAAUAAGUGACGGUGUGAUUUCAUCCCCUUUCUGAAGAUUCUCGUCAUCCAUGAAAGUUCUGACUCCUUUGUCAUCAAGAGCUUUCCAGAGGUUGCCAGUGAAACCGUGGCGGGUGUCUUCGCCUCUAAAGCUGAGAAAAACAUCGUACUUGAAGCGACAUGUGACUGUGAGGGAAGCCAUGAGUGAAUAUGAAUUACAGAGUGUGGAUUGUGGAAUAUCUAGAGUCAAAUGAGGGUGAAAUAUGGGAGAUAGACAUUGCUUCUAAGAAGUGAUCAAUAUUAAAUGCACGGUGUCCCUUUUUGUUUCAAGGGAAAUGCUAACUUGUACCCUCUACAAAUUAAUAAUUUUAAUAUAGAAAUAAUUUAUUGAAAUUUGUGCAUUGUAUUUAAUCAUUAAUUGUACAAAAUUUUAAAGAAUAUUUCUUCUUUUAAAUUUCUUAACAUGACCCAAAGGCACAAAUUAACACUACCGUUAUUUUAAAAUUAUUUAUUUAUUUGAUUAUUUCAUUCACAUUAAAAAAAAAGAAAUUAUACAUCCAGAAGAGAGAAUAACAUUUUUACAAGAAAAUUCCUUCAAAAAACAAACAUUUUUACAGAAAAUAUAGACAAUUAUUUUAUAAUAUUUAGAUUUUGAUUAUAUUUAUAGAUGUUUAUGAUUUUUAAAUUGUAACGAAACAUGCUUAUCUUUUUAAAUCUCAUAAAUAAUAUAAUAAAUAUAACAUAAAUUCUUAUAUUUUUAAAAAUACAAACAAUAUACAUUUUUAUGGACAAUUUUUAAAAAUACAAACAAUAUACAUUUUUAUAGACAAAUUUAUUUAAAAGUAUAAUUAAAACAAAUAAAAAAUUCAACUCAAAAUCUUUAUAUAUUGUUUUAGAUUAUAUGUCGUGUGUCAUCGUAAGUUUAGCUUAUUUGAUAGGGAUAAUGCAUAAUAUAUGCAAGGUUCGGUGUUCAAACUCCGACCACCACAAAAAAAAAAAAAUUAUAUACCGUUCAUGCGAGGGAAGUAAGACAAGGCCGUCUCUUGGCAAGAGCAUAGAGUUUUAUGGUACUAGGCCUCAAAUAUUUGUAGGGAUAAAAGUAUAAUUAUUGAGGUGUAGGAUAAAAAAAUAACGCUUUUAUUUACGACAAAAUCUGUUAUUAAAUGUCAUUUUUCGUAGAUAAGUCAUGUUUGAACCAAUACUAAUAUGUUUAACUAGAGCUUAAUUAUUUAUCAUUAUAAGAUUACAAGUGAGCUCUAAAAUAUCUCGAACGGCCCUCGUGAAAGAGUUACCUUGAUGGAUAUGAAUUGCAAAGUAUGGACAUAAGGACUUUGGAGUAGCUAAUUAACGUGGGAGACAGAUUUGUGCGUAUUGAUGAAUACAGCGGAAUGUCAAUAUCAGGAGGAUCAUCUAGAGUCAAAUAAAGUGGGCACACCUUUAACUAGUCUAAGCACCCGUACAAUGCAUGGAUAAAGUUAUCGGUUAUUGCUACUUCCUCCUUGAAAUUGUCACGUUCAUUCAAAGGUGAAUAUAAUUAGCCUAUGUUUGGAUGCCUGUUUGCACCCUCAAAAGCACGGCAAUUCGCUUAAAACUCACUUCUAUUGUACUAAAAAGAUGUUUGGAUCAUUUAGAGAGAAGCAAUUUUUGUUGCUAGAAUUGAUUCUAGCCAACACUCUAAUUUGUAGCUUUUGCCUUUAAGAGUAUCAAUUCUACCAUAACUGUGACCUCUUAUAUAUCUUUCUUAAUAACUUUUUACUUAAUUGCCUAUUGAUUGGUAACCAAAUAAAUCCAGCAACUGUUGUCACAUAAUGCUUAUUCGCAACACAUGAAUUUUGCAAUAUAACUCUAAUAAUUAUUUUGUAGUCAACCAACAAUUUCAUUUUUGUAAUAUAACUCUACAUAAUAUUAUUUAACAUUUAUAUAUUAUAGGGUUAAUUAAGUAAAUGGUCCCUGUAAAUAUUCAGAAUUUUGUUUUUAGUCCCUAUAAAAUAAAAUUACACUUUUUAGUCCUUAUAAAAUUUUCCAUCAGCAUUUUUAGUCCCUAUAAAAAUUUUCCAUUAGCAUUUUUAGUUCUUAUAAAAAAUUUCCAUCAACAUUUUUUGUCCUUAAAAUGUUUAAGGAAAAUGUCACAGGACUAAAAAAUUUGAUUUGAUUUUAUAGGGACUAAAAACAAAACUGUAAAUAUUUUUAGGGACUAAAAACUUAAUUAACCCUAUAUUAUAUAUAGACAUUUUGGUUAAGCUUUGUGCAUUCAUUUAUUUUUAAAAUUAAUGAACGACUCUAUGAAAAAAAUUAUACCAACAUAAAUUAAAUAAUUAUCUAUAGUAGGAAAAAUAUAGAUUUAAUUUUUCAUUUCUAUUUUGGAAAGUUAUUUAAAUUUUUGUUGUAUAUUUUAAAUAGUUUAGAUUGAAACCAAAAAUUGUAAAUAUAUUGUUUAAAUACACCCCUUUUGGUAAUUAUACCUUCAAAAGUAAUUUUGAUCUCAACCAUCCAAACAAAAUAAAUUAAUAAGAAUCACUUCUGCAUAAAAGUAUCCAAACACAAAUCAAUUUACACGCAACUCAAUUUUAACCAAAAUCAAUUCUAUCAAAAUUAAUUUUGUUAGAAUCUAUUCUAGCCACCGCCAAACCCAACAUACACUUAGUGAGUAUCAAAAUUGAAAUUAGUGCCUAGUAAUGGCGUGGCCGUGCCUCCAAUAUUUCAAAAGAGGCCAACAACCAGAGAGCUUGGCACGGCCCGUGCCUGUGGUGGCACGGCCGUGCUCGACUGCAGCUCCUCCUUUUAUUACUUUUGAUUCUUGAUUCAGGUGCCUUUUUAGUUUAUUUCUGACCUAAAAGCCCAUGGGUUUCUUGUGGAACAUUCUAUUGAUAUAUUUCUUGGGGCUUAAGUUAGUUUUUAGCUAUAAAUAGAGAAGCUAGCAGACAUAUAUUUUCAUCUUUUAUUCUUGGAAAUUCUAAGUGACAAUUAUUUCUUUGGAUAAAAGUUCUUCUUUAUUUUCUUGCUAUUUACUUUUAUGUUCUUCUUCUUCUUCUUCUUCUUCUUCUUCUCUAUGUCUACAAUGAACAUGAGUGAGUAGACCUCUUUGUCAUGAGAUUGUUGGAUGAGUCUAAUGACCUAAUCCCUAUCAAACCAAGCAUCGAACCCUAAUCUUAUGUAAAUCUAUAUUUUAAUCUAUUUCACCGUUUUUCUAAUGAAAUAACAAGUAUUAAUCGAAGGACCGAAAUGUGAAGUUUAAUAGUUGUUAUUUCAACAUUAUAAAUAUCAAGCGAAGUAUCGAAAGAUGAAGUUUGAUAUUGGAACAAGUGAAAUUAGACAAGGACUGCGAAACAUGAUAAUAGUCUAGCAAACCUCAAGACAAUAAAGUUUCGUACUUAAAGGGUUUCAAUAGCAAUCAACCAUGAUAGGGAUUAAUAUGUUUUAAUAUGUUCUGUGAAAUAUUUUAUUAAAGAUAUUUUAUUAGAGACAAUAACUUUAACAAGGGAAUGUAGUGCUGUCAUUAAGAAAUCGUCUCCAAAGCUUGGAGAUCCAAGUAGUUUCUCCAUCCCUUGUGUGAUUGGGAGUGAAACCACUGAGAAAGCCAUGUGCGAUCUAGGGGCUGGUAUUAGCUUGUUACCUUUGUCCCUUUUUAAGAAGAUGGGUAAAGGUGAGUUGAAACCUACCGAGAUGACCUUGAAAUUAGCUGGUUGUACCACCAUCCGCCCUGCCAGAUUUAUUGAGGACAUCCUCGUUAAGGUAGGAGGGAUAUAUAUCCCAACUGAUUUUGUGGUAUUAGACAUUGAUGAGGAUUCCGAAAUUCCUAUCCUUCUGGGAAGACCCUUCCUCACACUGCGGGAGCUAUCAUAGAUGUUAAGGGUGGUAGGAUUGUUUUUCAAGUGAGUGAUGAGAGAGUAGGAUUCGAAAUGGCCAGUCUUAAUGAGGACCAUACUGUUUAUUCUUGUUGCAUGAUUGAUGAUCAUAGUGUGAAAUAACGUUUUUUAACAUCGUCUGCACAAUAUGAUCUUUUUGAUCCUUUUUGAAGGUGCUCCUAACCGUCCAGGUAAUGACUUUAAACGAGCGCUUCGUGGGAGGCAACCCACGAGUUUAAUUGCUUUUAUUUUGUUUAUUUUGUGUUAUUUUAAUUUGUUUUGUAGGUAAUUAUCCAAAGUUGAUGAGAAAAAUGAAAAAAAAAUGGGGCCUAUUAACCAGAAGCAUUGGCACUGUCCGUGCCUAAUUCUAAACCCACCAACCAGAAGGAGAGGCACGACCCGUGCUUGUGGUGGCAUGGCCGUGCGCGAUACCCCAUUCCUAUAACCCAAUUUUUUCCCUUCUUCUUCCCUCAUUUAAACAACACAACCUCUUUCAUCCUUCAACUUCUCUCUUUAAACCUCCAUAACUCUCUCCAAACUUCACCAAAUCACACAAUUUCUAAACCAAAUAAACUCUAAACUUCAUCCCAAACCCAAUCAACCCAUCAAAAACAACAAUCAUCCAUCAAAACCCAUAAAUCACCAAAUUCGUGUAACCCCAAACCCUAACCCAGAAACCCCAAAAUGUUCAUCAAUUUUCACCCUAACACUAAAAUUUUUUACUUAAAACCCAAACCCAUCACUAAAACCACCUUUCCCACACAAAAUCUUACCAAAACCUAACCUUCACCCAAACCAACUCAAGUCAAACUAGUUCAAUGGUUCAAAAAUAAAAGUAAAGGAGCUGGAAAGCUCAGGAAGUGGUGCAGGAAAAAGGGAAGUAGCAGUCUGGAACCACGGCAUCGAAUUCAAGGAUGUCGAACAAAGGAGUAGGUAUAAAACUCUUGCCUCUAGACCUAUAUCUACUUGCAGGUACCCUGAUAUUGGUGCCAUGAAUGCACUAGGUAUUUGAGAUAAUGUGGUUAGGGUGUUAAACACCCUAGGUUGGGUUGAGAUGCUGAGGCCUAUGCGGGGGUUUAAAAAUUUCACUUAUGAGUUUUUGAGCUCACUUUCCUUCACUAAGGAUAAGUCAAAAUCGGAGAACCCCAAUCAUAAAGUCUCCUUCUGGCUUUUAAAUCUUGAUUAUGAGAUGUCUCUAGAAAAUUUUCGCUUAGACAUAGGCCUCGCGAAUGAAGGGUACAUUCAUGACUCUUGGGAUCACACUUUAAAGUCGGCCAACUAUGACCCUGUUUCCUUUUGGAAGAGUAUCAUUGGGCUAGAGCAAUAUAAUUCUCGUUCCAAUAAGGCUAGUAAUAUCCAUAAUCCCGUGCUUAGGUACCUUCAAAGGGUUAUGGCUUGCACUAUUUGGGGUAGGAAGGAAAUAGGGGCAACUAGGACUGAUGAGCUAUUUAUGCUAUGGGUUAUGUUGAAUACACAACAUGUGAACACCUGCUACUAUUUGCUUGAUUAUCUUGUUUCUGUUGCUAAAAAGAAAUCGGAUGAGAAAAGUGAGAUAGUGGUGGGUGGAAUCAUCACUUUUAUUGCUAAGAAGUUUGGUGUGGGUGAGGAGUGCAGGCUGAAUAGGAUUGAGGGCAACAAUAGACUAGAUAUAUAUACCCUUGUCACUAUGUUCAUUGUGAGGCCCUAUGACCCGCCUCAAAAUUACCAAUAUGAGCUUAGACUGAAUAGAGCUCAAUGUCUGAUUAUUCUGCCUAACCCGACCAAGACUGACACGGGGGUGGUGGAAAAUUUGCUUUAUGUUAGUACUAACCCACAGGUACAAGAAGACCAUGGUGAUGAUGGUGAUGAUGAGGAGGAGGAAGGUGCACAUUUGCAUGAUGAUCCAGUGCACCACGAUGAAGAAGUCGGUGGGCAAUAUGAUAAUGAUCAGUGGGCAUGGAUGCAAACCGAAGUUCAAAGGAUAAUCACCGAGCAACAAAGACAAGGUGUUGAAAUCUCAGGGCUACGUGGUGAUAUCCAAAGGGGAAAUCGCAUGCACGAGAAAAAUAAGCAAAUGCUCUUGAGAAUGAUGCAACACUUCAACCUCCAGGUUCCUCCACAAGGACCCCAAUAAAUUGUGAGCUUUCCCUUUUCCUUUUUCUUUUAUUUUUGAUUUUUUUUAAAUCAUUGAGGACAAUGUUUUACCCAAGUAUGGGGGAGUCAAUAAAAUGUCAAGCGUCGUAGUGUUUCAAGCUCCCUUGAAUUUUAAUUUUUUUUUUUGUUUAAAGUGAAAGGCAUGUAAAGCAGCUUGUUUUUUUAUUGCGAAAUAUGACAUAAAUUUUUAUUCCGAAUGACUGUUUCUUUUUGUACAUGAAAAUUAUUUCUUGUGUUUUGAGUGUUCUUGCUAUACCCACGUCAUGUUUAUUGUGAAAAAUCUCUUUGAGAAAAACACAUAGUUGCAGUCUUUGAGUAAGUGUGUAGGUAGGUAUUUUAAGGAGCACGUUCUAACUUUAUAAUGGUAAAUUGACCCUUAAAAUUCUUCAGAGUAAAAGUAGUAUAAGUUUGUGUGGGGAGAAAAGACUUGAAAAAAAUAAUAAUAAGUGACCGUAAAGAAACCGGUAAUGUCUGGUCACCAAGACAUUAAAAUGAUCAAAUGCCUAAAACUAAGUUGAUUAUCAAGAGGGUCGGAAGCAAAUAUAUUUAUAAGGGUACAUCAUUGACUCGGGGGGGCAGGAGCCGCACUACCUGUCUUCACGCGUAAAGAUGUUGUCAUCUUGAAAACUAAAAGUAGCUUAUGUAAUUCCUUCUUACUCAAAAUGUCAAAUGAUCAAAUAAUUGCCACCUCUUUUAUAUGAAAUGAAGAAAUGACUUCUUUCGGUUGGUUAAGUGUUAAGGUUAGAACAUGUUUCCUCAUAAUAUCUCUUACACAGGAGCAAGAAAAAGUUGGACUACACACACACACACUCACUUGAGACUUGAUUGUUGGGUUGAAUAGGUUCAUGAGAAAUGCCUGAAGUUGUGAUUAGUGUACACCAAUAACAAAGCCUUGGAGGAGAAAAGAGUUUUAAUUGUGUUGUCAUAUGUUAAAUUUUGUUUAUGCUGCUAAUGUUUAUGCCUCUUGCUUGAGGACAAGAAAAGAUUCAAGUAUGGGAGAGUUUGAUGAGUCAAUAAUUAGUGUUUUUAAGUGGUUAUUUGAGUUUAUUUUAUUUAGACUGCAACUCCUCCUUUUGCUGCUUUUGCUUCUUGAUCCAGCUGCUUUUUAGUUUAUUUCUGACUUAAAAGCCCAUGGGUUUCUUGUGGAACAUUCUAUUGAUGUAUUUGUUGUUGUUGUUGUUGUGAAGGAUUUGUCACCAAAAUGAAAUAAUAAUCCUAAGAAACCAUGUACUACAUAAUUAGAACAUGCUAAUCUCAACAAAAUCUAAACAGUUCAUUAUCUUUUGCAGUAGUUCCUCUUUUGUGAUUGAAGAUCUCUCGACCGAGUCAAAUAUAGAGUCAAUCACAUUAACCAGUUCCACCGAUGAUGAAGGAUUGUUAUCCGAUGCAUCCAAACAAUGUUGAUCUACAUUGAUUUUAUGAAAAGAAUGACUAAGGUUCUCAUCUACCUGCAUAGAGAUACUAAUUAACACAAAAGCAAUUACUUCCACGACAGAAAAAUUGCUAUACCCAUUUAACACCCUAUUUGAUGCAGCCAAUUUAAUAAAUCAACUAAACUGUGAUUUUAUAAAUGUGUUGUGAAUAAAAACAUUAAUGUUUUCAUUAUAACUAUCCCCGAUGUUUCACUCUAAAUCAACAUGUUUCUCACCCAAUAUCUAUCUUAUAAGUUAUAACUUAUAACCAUCUCCAAAGUUCAACUUUUUCAUGCAUGAAUAUAUGAUUGAUGACUGUCGUACUAAUUAGUUAGAAUUUAACAUGAACUACUAAUAUGUCGGGAAAAACUUGUUUUCUUUGCAAGUUCUCCGGGAAGGAUAUACUUUUUUGUUUUGGCAAAAUGCAGUAUAUAUAGAUUGAAAGGUGCAAAAAUAGAAUAAAUCCAAAAUUGAAACCAAAACAAGAUGACAUACCUGCUGAGGUAGGGAAACAGAACCAAAAGAUUUGCAGUCCUCACUCCUCAGAACAUCCUCUAUUGUCCAAAUCAUCACUGCCUUCUGUGAGUGUAAACUUGAGCACUCUUUUUGCAGGCUUAAAAUACGAUGCAGACUUUUGGGAGUUAUUUUCUGAAGCUUUCUCUCAGGUGCUGACUGUGCAGGUAUGUUUGUCUUCAAACAAUCCGAACAAGAGACAAUUUUCAAAUCAAAGCUUUCAACACGGAUAACAGAAUGUGGAGGGGAGGUCUUAUGUACUCAUGGACCAAUUAUUUUUUCAAAAUUAAAGUGAUGAAAUCAAUUCUUUUUCAGCAGUCAUACUUUCCAAUUUUUCUAGUUAACUAUGAAUAACAAAAUAUAGCUGCGCCAGACCCAAAGAAAAGUAGUUGAAAAACGCAAGUGUAACUAAUAGCCACAAAAUCUCAUAUACUUUCUUUCUCGUAAUCAUCAACACAUUUUCAACUAAGUAUAGCAUGCCUAGAUAACCAUCAAAGUGUCAAACCAUUUUUUACGAAAUCUCAUACAAUACUUUCUUAUUAUCAUUAAUACAUUUUUAACUAAGUAUAACAUACUUACAUAUGGAAUCACAAAUCACAGCAGAGUAAUAUGCAGAUAAUGAAAACCUAACUGCCACCACAUUAGUAAUCAUGAAUUCCAAAAUCCUGGGACUAUGAUACCAAAAAAUGAUAGUGUGACAUAUUGACAUUGAUUACACAUUUACACUGGACCACGUCAGAUGUAUAAAGAUUAUUUUAACUAGAAGGAAACUAUCUGUAUACAACGGUAAAAUGGAACGUAUCUAUAUCAUCCAUAAAUUAAUUUGGGAGGAUUAAAAAAAUCACCUCUUAUCAAGAACUUCAACCUUGUUGCAAAUAUUUCAAAAAAUUUGGAGAAUUUUUAUGCAGAUGCAACAAUCUAAGCGAACAACUCAUAUCACUAAACAAAUCAGCAACAGUCUUGUACCUGUUUAAAAAAAAAUUCAUAAAUCACAUUUUUUUUCUACAAAACAUUAAAAAAAAAAAUCAAAAAUCUAAAUUUUUCUAUAAAAAUUGGAAAAAUGUUAAAUUUAAUUAGGGUUCAUACUUUUCCGGAAGCUUGGUUUGUGGGAUCCUUGAAAUUGAUGGGAAAUAAUGGUCAGAUCUUCUCUGGAGUGGGACAUGCAAUUCAUUUAUCAACUGUGUGGAGAAUCUUCUUCUCAUUAGAAAUCUGAAGCAUCUUUCACUGAUUCAUCACAUACCAUUGGAUCCAUUCUUCAGCCUAAUAGAAAAAGAAGAUAGUCGAACUCAUUAUUUCUGCCAUAAGUUGUUUUGUUACCGUCUCCAAAAAAAAAAUAAGGGAAAAAAUUCAAUACAUCUGCAUAAACAUGCCAAAUUGUCGUUAAAACAUGGAUAGUCCAACCUAUAAUCGUGAUUUGCUGAAUAAAUUGAAAAAUCUAUUAUAAAAUUAUGAAACAAAUUAACAUCCUACAACACUACAGGAAGAAAAUUUUACGACUAUUUGGGUAAAAUGAAUGAUAUACUUACUUCAAAAUCCCGAGUGUAACACAAUGUUAGCAUCAUUCUCUGGAUUGGUGAAUCUAAUAUCCUUCAUGUUACUCUUCUCUUUCAAUACAUGGAUUCCACUAAACAUGAAUGGGAAUCCAAAGUCAACCUCUGCAUGGUUCCAUUUAUUUUCUAAAAGUGCUUUAUCCAUAUUACCAUUGAAGUAUUCCACUUGCAUAUGAAAAAGAUGCAAAUGAUAUGUGUCCGGUCGUGAACACCUAUCAAUCUUCCUACCAUGUGUAUAGAAAAAUGUAUUGUCGUUGAUGAUCACUCUUGCAGGAUGUUCAAGAUAACCCCAUGUAUAUGCAGAAACAACACCGAGAGCUAUGGAAGGAAACUUGUUACAAAACCAGAAAGAAACUGACAUUCCUGCCUCGCAUUGGUGGUCAAACCACUCUGGAAUCUUUGCCCGUGGCAAACAAAACCGAGUGUUUCCAGCCUCAUGUAAUUUCUGUUAUUCAUAAAUUAAAUGUAAGUUUAACGAUAUCAAGAAGAAUAGAAAAUACAGUACAAAUUUAAAAAUAAAUAAAUAUAACCUGAUUUAGUAAAUUGCUUUUGCAUGACGAAGUCAAUUUGCAGUUUACUGCAGAUAACUCUCUUAAGCAUGGAGGAAUCCCUUUAAUUUCCUCAAGUUCCUUACAAUCAUCCAAGACCAGUUUCCAUAGAAAAUUACAUUUUUCAAUAGAUUUAGGAAUAACUGUGAAUUUACUGUUAGUUAGGUGUAAUUCUUUCACAUUAGCAAACAACAUGAGAGUUUUUGACAGAUAUUCAUCUGAAAGUUUGCAUUUCUUCACACAAAUAUACUUUACAUGUGAAGAUUGUAUUGGGCUCAUUUUUUCCUCGGCCUGAAUGGAGAGUUCAGCCAUUUUUGACAUCAAAGAAGCUCUAUUUGGAAAGCAAGAAUGUCCACAGUUACAUGGAUAAUAUGUUUGGGGCUGUGUAAGAUUUUGAAAUGGAAACGGUAAUUCUUUUAUGGGAGUUUCAUCCAAGUGGAGUCUUGGUAUAUUUCUCAUCUCUCCCAAUAUUUCUGGAAAACUCUCAAGCCUAUAACAACAUGAAAGAUUGAAUUGUUCCAACGAAGUCAAACUGAGCCGUGGGAUAUUCCUAAGCAUGAUGCAAUUUUCAAUAUUCAAGAAUUUCAAUUUAUCCAACAACCCAUCCACAACACUUGGAAAGCUCUCGAGCUUAUAACAAUCUGAAAGGUUAAGUGUUUCUAGUGAAUCCAACUUGAGAGAUGGAAUACUCACAAGAUUGUGACAAUGUGAUAGGUCAAGUUUUUCAAGUGAAUCUAACUUGAGAGCUGGAAUACUCCUAAGAUUGUGACAAUUUUUAACAAACAAGGUUUUAAGUUUAUCCAACAACCCAUCCACCACGCCUGGAAAGCUCUCAAGCUUAUAACAAUUUGAAAUGACAAGUUUUUCUAGUGAAUCCAACUUGAGAGGUGAAAUACUCACGAGAUUGCGACAAUAUGAUAGGUAAAGUUUUUCAAGUGAAUCCAACUUGAGAGCUGGAAUACUCCUGAGAUUGUGACAACUUUUCACAAAUAGGGUUUUAAGUUUUCCAAGAAACCCAUCCACCACAUUUGGAAAACUCUCGAGCUUAUAACAACUUGAAAGGUAAAGUUUUUCUAGUGAAUCCAACUUGAGAGGUAAGAUAUUCACGAGAUUGCGACAAUGUGAUAGGUCAAGUUUUUCAAGUGAAUCCAACCUGAGAGUUGGAAUACUCCUAAGAUUGUGACAAUUUCGAACAAACAGGGUUUUAAGUUUUCCAAGAAAUCCAUCCACCACGCUUGGAAAGCUCUCGAGCUUAUAACAAUUUGAUAGGCCAAGUGUUUCUAGUGAAUCCAACUUGAGAGGUGAAAUACUCACGAGAUUGCGACAAUGUGAUAGGUCAAGUUUUUCAAGUGAAUCCAACUUGAGAGUUGGAAUACUCCUAAGAUUGUGACAAUUUCGAACAAACAGGGUUUUAAGUUUUCCAAGAAAUCCAUCCACCACGCUUGGAAAGCUCUCGAGCUUAUAACAAUUUGAAAGGACAAGUUUUUCUAGUGAAUCCAACUUGAGAGGUGAUAUACUCACGAGAUUGGGACAAUAUGAUAGGUAAAGUUUUUCAAGUGAAUCCAACUUGAGAGGUGGAAUACUCCUUAACUCGUAGCAACCUCUAAAACUCAUGGUUUUAAGCUUAUCACCAAACACCAUAUGUGAAAAACUGUCAAGACUAGUACAAUCUAAAAGAUCGAGUUCUUCUAGAGAAGGUAACACGAGAGAUGGAAUAAGUCUGAUUUUGCUGCUACCUAUAACCCUCAAGAUUUUAAGUUCUCCAAGAAAUCCACUCACCACGGGAGGAAAACUUUCUAGACUAUGACAGUGUGAAAGAUUGAGUUCUACCAGUGAAGCUGAAUUGAGUGGUGGAACACUCUGGAGGUUAUUGCAACCUAUCAAUCUCAAGAUUUUAAGUUUACUCAAAAAGCCAACAGAUUCAUCAAUUGUAAUUAAACUAGUACAAUCUUGAAUUGAAAAUUGUUCUAAAUUUGGGAGAUUAGAGAUAUCAGGCAUUCUUGUUAAUAGUGUAUCGCAAUCAUAAUUUAAAACUUUCAUAUUCUCAAACUUCUGCAAAAAAAAUGAAAAUAAAUAAGAAAUUAAUGAAUAAUAUUAAACCGGAUUUGUUAACAGUCUUAAAUAUGUUUUUGGUCUCUAUAAAAUUGAGAACUUAUAAGUUUAGUCCUUACAUAAUUUUAAUAGGUUUUUUAGGCCCUCCAAAAAAAAUUACUUCUAAUUUUAGUCCCUACUACAACAAAGUUUGUUUAAUUAUCCUUAAACUCUUAAAUUUUUGAACGAUUUUUUUGAGACAAACUUAAAACACUAUGAAAGGUUCAUUUACUAAAAUUUAGAAUUUAUUAACAUGAAAAGAAUUAAAUAUGAAUUUUUCAAAACGACAAAAGUUAAAGAUAUAAGUAACAAAAUAUGGACGUUGAAAUCAAAUUUUGUGAGAAUUUUUUGCAGAGGAACUUUUUGUAAUAUGUUUAACACGUCUACAAAAAAUUGUUGAAAAACUCAAGAGUUUAAGCAUAAAUUAAACAAAUUUGAAUUGCGCAGAGACUAAUACUGAGGGCAGAAAAUUUUAUUAGAGGCUAAAAGAACUAUUAAAAUUAAGUAAAGACUAAACUUAAAAGGUUUCAAUUUUAUAGGGAUAAAAAUAUAUUGGAGAAUGCUAAUCAUUGCCCUUGGGGCAUUGGAUAAAUGGAUAAAAAUAGAAAUAUAGUAUUGAAAAAUGGUGAAAAGUGAUAAAUUUAACUUUUUAAGAGUCAAAAUGAUACAUGCUACUUUUGGCUGGUUAGCAAGACCCAAACAUAUUUAAGCCUUAUUAAUAUAGAAAAAGAGAUAUGAAUCACUUGCCUUUUUGAGAAAGCCGUCCCACUCAAAUAGAUUUGAUCCACGGCUAUGGUAAUAAUUGCGAUUGCGAUUGGAAUAUUCUAGCACUCGUAGACUAUUUGGAAUAUGUUCAGAAGUUUCAGAAAAACAAACAGGAGUACUAAAAAUUAGUGUUCUGAGAUUUUUCAUCUUCUUGAAAGCUUUUCCAUCUGAGGCAUCCUUCUUUUUUUCAAUCCAUGGGUCAAAUUGGAAAUGUAUGAUUUUAAUGGUACUUGUUCCCUGUAAACAAAAAAAGGACAAAUUAACUGAUAUUUAAAGAUCUCGCUGGUUCAAAGUUUCAUUGUGAUUUUUAUAACAAACUAGAUUGUGUCCUUGAGACAAGAAACUAAAUUUAAGUGUGUGUUUAGAUUGAGGGUUUAAAAAGGGAAUGGAGGGAAUAACUCAUUUUUAAUUUUUAGAUUACGAAUAAUGUAAAAAAAAAAAAAACAAAUUAAGUGUUUUUGAAGUAUUACAUGAUCAUUUAUCAUGAUUUUCUUUUGUUAAUUUAUUUUUCUAAGAAUUAUUUUAUAAUGUCUGUAAUUUAAAAAAGAAAAAUAACGCUUUCCCUCCAUUCCUCUCUCAUAAACCCUUCAUUCAAAACACACACUAAAUUUUUAUAUUUUUAGAGUUAUACAUUCAAUAUCUUAAAUUAAAAGUUUCAAAUGUUGUAUUUUCAAUAUAGGGUAAAAUUACAUCAGAUGUCUUCUAAGUUAUUUAAUUGUAAUAAAUUGGUUGUUAAAUUUUUUUUUUUAUAAUAAUUAGGUUCUUUAAGUUAUUGAACUGUAAUAAUUUAGGCGAUUUUAGAUCUUAAAAAUGUAAGUUAUUCGGGUCCUAAAAGUUACGAUUAAAUAAUUUAAAGGACUAACUUUGUUAUAAUUAAUUAACUUAAAUAAUUGUACGAAAAAAACUUAAAGGAUCAAUUGGUUACAAUUAAAUAAUGAGUAAUGCUAUAUAUCAAGAAAUAUUCAAGAAUGACAUGACAGAAUAAUCAAGAAAGAUUCAAGAAUGAUCAAUUGGUUAGCCAAUAAAAUCUCAGCCUGGCCGGAAAUCAUGGGGUGGUGGAUGUUAUGUAUUUUAUUUUUAUUUUUUAUGAAAGGAUAAUAAAUAAGACUGAAAUCUAAGGGUCAUUAUUCUGCCAUGUCAUUCUUAAAUCUUUCUUGAUAAAAUCAUUCUUGAUAUCUAGCAUUUUCCUUAAAUAAUUUAAAGGACGUCUGAUAUAAUUUAACCUUCGAUAUAAACUUAUUUUUUAUUUCCAUUUUUAUAUAGGAAAAAACUAACUUGUGUCCUUGAGGCAUACAAGUUAUUUUUUCAAGAAUCUAAAUGUACAUUCAAUGUCCUAAAAGUUAUCUUUUAAAUAUAUUUCAUCUAUUUCAAAAUACAUGUCACAAUUUUGCAAUGUGUACUAUUCACAUGACUUGCUUUGACCAUAAUUUUUAACUAAUAUAUAAAUACAAAUACUAGCAUGUAAGUUGUUGCUUGAUUUGUAUCGAUAAAUAUAUUCAAAAUACUAAAUUUUUACAAUUUUUUACUUUAGAUAAUUAAAUAUAUUAAUGGUCAAAGUUAUGCACUGACAUAUGUGAAGUGAUUGACUACGACAUGUAUUUUGAAACAGAGAGAGUAAAAACUUAUCUUUCUAGCUCUAUUUUAAGCUCAUUAACUUGUGCAUUUAUGACACAAGUUAGCAUGACCUUUUUAAAUAUUACAAAAGUUUAAUUUACAUACACCGUCAGUGUUAAAAAAAAUUGGAGAAUUCUAUUCUAACCAUUGCCCUUAGGACAUUGGUUAAAGUACUAAAAUAAGUAAGUUUGCAUUGAAAAGUGAUGUAAUUAUUGUUAAGACAAAAAUAAAAACUUGUAUUUCCAAGAUAAUAUUUCUAUUAAUAGAAUCCUUAACCAUUGUCCUUAAGACACUAGUUAGCAAGACCCAAAAUAAUUACAUAUGCAUUCCAGAAUGUAUUGGCAUAUCAAUUAAGGAGAUACGACAAAUUAUUACAAAUUACACAUGCAUUCAUUAACUAAUGUAUAUGUAAUACAUUGAGGGUAUAUAUAAAUUAAGAGUCAUGCUAAUAAGUGCUAACUGCACUCGUUAAGGAUUCAAAAAAGUAAACAAUUGUUAAAUUUUAGGUAGAAAAAAAUUAUUUUUUACUAAUAGUUUAAUAUGUUGAACAUAAUUUUUAAAAUAAAGUUUCUACUUUAAGUUGUCAUAAGUAGACUUGUUAGAAUUUCGCAUAAAUAGAGUAUAAAAAUUUGUGAUAUGGUGACAUUAAAUAAUGCAUUAAGCCAAAAGGGUAACAUGAACAUUAUUAGUAACAUAAAAUCUACGUUAAAGAUGAAAAGUCAAACCAUUCAUAUCAUUAUAAUAACUCACCGUAUUUUCUUUAAAAACUUUCUUUAUAUCUUCAUAGGCCCAUAACCUAGUGCGUUUUCCAGGAUCUUCAGGUGAUUCUCGUCUAACAAUUUCUUUCCCCAUAUCCUCUAUCAAAUCAUGUAAUGUUACAUUACCAGAAACGCUUAUUUUUAUGAGAGAUUUUUCCACUAACACAUCAAUGUGAUCUUUCAUGAUAUUACCAUAAUGAGCAUGAAGUAUUUCUUCUACUCUUGUCAAAUUCCAUCCUUUGAGGCAACAAGCAAUGUCAAGAAAAACAAAUUUGUCUUCAUCCUGCAAAGCAUCAAAGCUCACUUGUAGUGUUGUUUGGAUCUUUUUAUCAGGAACCCUUUCACAACGAUCUAGUACAUGAUUACAUUGUUCUAUUGUCUUGUUAAAAAAGUGAGAACCUAUGACUUCCAAAGCAAGUGGAAGGCCAGAAGCAUAUGCGACAGCACGUUUUAAAACAUUCGCAUAACUUGAAAAACGUACAUCUUUCUUCAAAUAUUUCAGUCUACACAAUUCAUUCGCAUUCAAUUCUCUUCCUUGCUUUUGUUCUAAUAAAACAUCUUUAUAGCUUGGACUAUAAUAAUUUUUUAAAGCUUUCCAUCCCACCAAGUCAAAAGCAUCUGCAUCGUUCAAUCCCUUCACCUCAUAUCUUCUUUCAAUCCCAUGAUAUGUUAGCAAUCUUUUGUCCCGAGUCGUGAUGAUGACUCUACUUCCUAGACCAAACCAUUCGGAACUUCCAGCAAUAGCCUUUAAUUGCUCAUCCUUGUCAACAUCAUCCAGAAGUAAAAGAACCUUCUUUUGGUGAAGCCUUUGUUGUAAUAUUGAAACUCCUUGUCUAACACUGGUUAUCUCCAUGUUCGUCUCUCCAACAAUUUGAGACAGAAGGAUCUUUUGGAGAUAUAUCAACCCACUUUCCUUAAAGUCUCUGACUUUUUCAAAAAAACAGGAACAUUGAAAUUGAUGGACAAUCGAAUUAUAAACUUCUAGAGCAAGAGUAGUUUUCCCUAUUCCACCAAUCCCAUGGAUCCCCACCAUGUGGAUUGUAUCAUUAGACCCAACAUUCAAAAGCGAAGUCACAUGUUGCUUUUGGUGCUCUAGUCCAACUAGGCAAUCACCAGCAGGUAAGACAAUAGGUUUUAUAUUUCUUAAGACUUGUUCAAUAAUCUUCUCAAUAAACUCAUACUCAUACUCAUCCCUAUCCAAUAAGAGAAAAGUGGUCGUUCAACUCAUAUUUCUCAAUAAACUCAUAUUUCUUAAGAUGUUGUUGCAUCUUUUAUUGACUUAACACUCAACUCUCAUAGUUGUGAUUUUUCUUUAAAAUUAAAAAAUGCCAAAAAUCAGCUUGUACACUUAAGAGCGGAACAAACUUUUAAUUAGGGUAACAAACAUUUUGGCAUUUUUUGGAGUUAUAUUUUUUAAUUUUAAGAACGGUCAUGGGUUGAGUGUCAUAGCAAUAAAUCAUAUCGCCACAACAUAAAUUUGGAGGAAAAUUAUAAGAGAGACUAUAAAAUCAUAAAGAAGGAAAAUAUAAGGGUCCAAAAUCGCUCAAAAACAUAGGAGGUUAAAAUCACACAAUUAUGAUAAAUGGGGAUCAAAAGUACACGCAAGUCUAUGUUAUAACUAAAAUUGUCAUCUGCCAUGUUUGUUGCUUAAGUUUUUGAAAAAUGAAUCAACAAAUACAAUUAUCGUAUAUUUUUUAAGAAAAAAAUUAUUUAGCUUAUUAUCAUCCCCUUUACUAUUUUAUGUAAAAAAAAAAAAAAAAACUAUUUUAUGUAAAAAAAAAAAACAUUCUCUUUACAUGUUUUUUAGUGAGUGAUUUCUCUUUACAGUCUAGCAUAUCAAUUAAGCUUUUAAAAAAAAUGUGAUAAAGAAAGAUACAAAUAAAUUAAUAAUAUGGUAAAAGAUAAAAUAAGAAAAGAGAUAAAUUAUUAGUUAGUUGAUAUUAAAUAGGCUUAAUUGCACUUUUAGACCCCUAUCUUUUCAAAAGUUGCGGUUAUGGACCCCUAAUUAAUUUAAAUACAAAACAGCCCCCUAUGUUUUGAUUCUUUGGCAGUUUUGGACCCCCAGUCCAUUGUUGACUCGGUCAACACUGAUGUGGCACCUUAAGUGAGGUGUCACGUGUCAAUUUUUUUAUUUUUUUUUGCCUUGGGGGUCCAAUCAAAGAAUCAAAACAUAAGGGGCAGUUUUGUAUUUAAAUUAAUUAGGGGUCCAUAACUGCAACUUUUGGAAAGAUAGGGGUCCAAAAGUGCAAUUAAGCCUAUUAAAUACAAAGAUAGAAGUGUACCCUUUGUAAUGAGAGCCGGACAAAUUAGCAACUUGUUGAAGAGAAGCCUUCCAUUUAUUAUUCACAUCAUGACUUGAGGAGCUGGCCGCAUCAUGUUUAUCCAUUGCUUCACCAUAACUCCUUUUCAACUUUCUUACAUCAGAAGGAUCCACCUUAUAAAAUACCGGCAAAACGUAACGACCCGCCUUAUCUUUCAUUGUAUCAAGGAUAUGAGAAAGUUCUUGUAAGCAAAAGGAUGAAGAAGCAUAAUUUUCAGAGAGGACAAUGAUGGCCAUCAUGGAGUCUUCAAUUGCUUUGAGAAGUGAUGGUGUGAUUUCUUCGCCUUUUUUAAGCUCCUUGGCAUCCAUGAAAGUUCGAACUCCUUUGUCAUCAAGAGCUUUCUUGAGAUAACCGGUGAAACCAUGACGAGUAUCCUCGCCUCUAAAACUGAGAAAAACAUCAUACUUGAAUUGAUUUGUGACUGUGAGGGGAGCCAUGAGUGUGGUUUGAUGAAUAUGUAUUCAAAUGAAAGAACAGUUGUUUGGAUAAAAUUGAGCUAGGAUGAGUGUAGUGAACUUCAAAAAGACUUUGGAGUAUCUAAAGUCAAGAAGGUGGGACACACACUUGUCAGUAUAUUAUUGAUCAAGCAGAAAUGUUAAACUGUUGGGACGCGCUUGUGUCAGUACUAUAUUUGUGGGUGUUACCAUUAUUGUUUCUAAACAGUCACAUGAAUUCUUGUUUUUGUUUGGUCAUAUUAUCCAUUUUUAUCCGAUCUCCUGAACAAUUUUUAAAUCAAAUAGAUAAAAAGAAAAAGAAAGAAAAAUUGUCAAAUAAAAAAUUGUUUAGUUCACACAACUAUAUUUUUAGCCAUUGAAAAUCGGGGACUAAUAUAGUAGAUCAACCACAAUAGAUGUAAUUGGGUUAGGAUCCUCUCCAUUUAUGUGUUUCUCCAUUUCUUCAAUUUGGAGAAAUAAAGACACAUAAAAUCUUGAAAAAAGUAAAAUAUAAUUAAUGAUGGUGGGACCCACUUAAUGGUAGGAUCCACCAUCUAUUUUUUGUAUCAAGAGAAGAGAGGAAGUGUAAGUGUUAAUCUGUAUUGAGUAAGGAAUAUGGACGAUGUGAUGAAAGUGUUGGGUUGGUAACAGUUAUAAUGGAUUUUGAAGAAAAAAAACACUAGGGACCAUACUCCACUUUUCAUGAAUUAAGAAAAUCUCAUACCUAAUAAAAAUGGAGAGACCAUAGUUUUCAAGCUUAUUGAUACUCAUUGACUUCCCUAUAAAUUUUUAUAUGUGUUUGACUUAUAUUUUGCUUAAAUAUAUUUAUUAAUUUUAUUAUUUCCUUAAAUAAUGUUUUUAAAACACUUUUAGCAUGACCCUUGAAUCUUAAUCUUACGGGUUGGUGCCGUAGAGUUGUUGAGUCUCAAAAUUCUAAAGGAAUAUAUAAAGCACAAAACAAGUCCACCAUUAGUCCAUUAUUAAUUUGAUAUGAUGGUCCUUUUAUAUUGAUAUUUUUCACACAUCUUUUUUUUUUUUUGGUCUUAUUUUUUACACAUCUUUUAAUUAUGAUUUGUUUUGACUAAAUCUUCUUAUUACGCGUAGUGGAGGGACCUAAUUUUUUUUUUUAAAGAAGGGAGGGACCUAAAGUUGGAUUACUAAAGGUAGAUCUAUUAUUGCCUUUAUCAUAUACCAUAAAUAAAUAAUACAAAAGUUAAUGACUUUUUCGUACAUAUCAAAAUAAUGGAGCAAUGUUGAGGCAAAACAAUAGGAGAAGAGAAUAACAUAGCCGAAAGACAUAUUUAGAAGCUAAUUAAAAUAAAGGAACAUUAUGGAGGUUUGACAAAAUAAAUGAGAAGACAAGUGAAACCAACUAUUCUUUUAAAUAAUCAAAAUAAUAGUUGCUUUCAUUUGAGAAUAAACAGACCCAAUUCUUUAUGUACAUGGAAAACCAUAUAGAGAUGUGAGAUUUGAAAUUCCUCAUUGACGAUAUGAAUAAAUAUACUUCCAUUCAAAUUACACUUUUUUUAUUUAGUGAUUUCUUCUUGUUAUGAAUAAUAAACUUAGUGAAUGUUAGAUCUUUAAUCUUCCACUUUCCUAUAAUCUCCAUUAAUGAAUAAGUAGUUCUUAAUUAUUUUGAUCAUUCACUUGCUUAUUUGUAUUCUAUAAAUUAUAGAAAUGCGAUCAACACACUCCUAGUUUUCUAACAUUUUCACACUAUCUUUCUUAUAUGGUGAAAUUAAUAUGGGUUCCUAUUUGUAGAAAUGAGUCCUACGUAAAAUGAUGUAGCCCACAUGAAGUUCAACUACUUAGAGCUAAGAGAAAGAAGUUGGAAGUCUUAGGUUGAAACCCGAACAAAAUAAUAGAUAUUAAUCUAAAUAUAUAACUACUAACAUUUGCUAUUAAAAAAAUAUAUGAUUGCGUGAUUUGAACAAUUAAAUUUAAAGAACUUUUUAAUUGAUUAACCCAAUUCAAAUACAUGGUUAAUUAAUCAUGUUUAAUGAAUGAUUAAUUGAUAUACUAGAUGUCGAAACAUAUAAACCAUCAACGAAUUUCAUUAACUAUAAAUUUAGAUGUGGUAAACAAUAAUUACAUAUGUCAAAUUUACAUGCAUGUGAACACCUGAAAAUUAAGUUUAAACUAGAUUGAGACAUGUGCGUUGCACGGUCGAAAUAAUCGGUUUUUGUGUAUUAUAUUUGAAAGUGAUAUAGUAUAUGUUGGAGAUUAAUGUUGGACUAACUCUAAGUUUUUCUUGGUUUCUUGACAACUCAAUGAAAUGGGACAAACCAAGUAUGAAAUUAGAAUCAAUGGUUCAAAGGGCAAUAGCCUUAAAUAAUUGAAAGAAAAAGCUGAUUUUUAACCUAAACAUUUAUAGGGCAUUCAUGUUUUUAAUAAAAAUAUGACAAGACUAAAUUCUGUAAACAUAAUAAUCUUGUUAGGAAGGCUUGUGCAUGAAUUGUUUAGUCGUGGAAGUUGAACUAUGGUUCAAGCCAAUUAUUUUAAUGUUCUACUGAGUAACUGUUCUAAUAUUCCACCAAGCAGUAGUUUUAAUCAAGUUUAUAUCUUACAAUCAAUAGAAGGUCUUUUUAGUUUUUAUAAAGUAAUGGAAAGGACUUCAAACAACUUCGAAUAUUUCUUUUGUUGCUGAAUUUAAACCAUAAAAUUACUAACAAUGACUGUAUGUGCAACUUAAUAUAUUUAGAGACUAUGAAUAACGGUGCAUCACACUUUGAGUGACCUAAAUGGAUGUUUGCUCUGACUAAUAGAAAAACGAUUUUCAAGAAUAUCGAUCAAAUGCAUUGUAGUUGGAUUAUACUUUACAUAACUAUUUUCCGUUUACAGUAAUGAAGUACUAAAUUUUCAAUAAAAUACCUCAAUGGUGGAACCUCAACCGUGAAUUUUUUAAUUGGUCUUUGAAUUUUUUAUUACUAAGGACAAUUCCAAACAUUGCAUAUAUAGGACUUGCAUGUUGCAACACAUUAUUUUUGUUAUCAAAUUUUGAGAUUGAGUUAAGAAUGUUGCAACACUAUAUAGGACUUAUAUAGUGGACUGAAACUAACCGGUGCUUUUGUCAAUUCCUUAUUUUUGUUUUCAUUGGAAGAGGAAAAAAACAUGGUAUUGGGGUUGCCAAUUUUUGUUCUAAAUUUCCUCAAUGUGAUUAUUUCAAUUUAUUAAAAUGGAAUUUAUUCUAUUGUUGCCAACUAUAUUAUUGUAACCAAAAGAAACUAUAUUAUUUUCCACCCCAGUAAUUUUUACUGUUUCGAUUUUUAAUCAAGAAACCCAAAAAGUAACUAUUAGUAACUUUCAAUUUAUUUAAGUCAGACUUUUUUCAAUACAAUUCUGCAUUUACCAACACAUUUUUUUUUUUUCAAAUUGUAAUGUAAACCUAUACCAUAAUUAUUAACUAAAGAGAACUCAAAACUUAAUAUAAAAAAACUAAAGAGAACUCGAAAAGUAAAUACCAAUUUUAGUUGGAUAUUUAUCUGUAUAAACUUUUCAUUAAAACAACAGUUUUUUGUUUCUAAAUUUAAAUAUAAAAACUUAUAGGAAUAUAAGAACUAAAAUUUACAUAAAUUCAAAAGCAAAUAUGUCAGCUUCAAUGGAAAUGAUUUGUUCUUCUAGCUCAUUACUUUUCUCCAUCAAGACCAACUCUUUGAUAUUAUCCAACAAGCUAGAAUUGUUUAAAUUAACUAAUCAACUGUAAAUAGAAAGAGACCCACUUGUUAUAGAUCCGGCAGUCAUUAUGCAUAACUGAUGUAAUUUUCAACCAAUGAAGACAUAACCACCAGACGUGCGCAAACCCGGGGCAUUUAAAGAACAAAUGUGUGGCUGCCUCCACUGCACACCUCCUCUUUGAAAGAUGUAGCAAAUAUUAGAUCAACGAGGUUUUCCUUCAUCGGCAUUUUAUUCAACACUAAUCGCAAACAAAACAAUACACCUUCAACGGGACCAACUUGUUCCAAGUUUUUGAAAAGAAACGAUUUCUACACAGAAGGCCGUCAUUUAUAAUUACAGAAUAAGCAUGACUCGCAGAAUAUGUUCCUCCAUUGUCAUGCUUCCAUAUCCAUCUAUCCCCAACACCUUUGAUUCACAACCAUGUUUAACUCAGUGAGAGAUGGUUCAUCCCUCACCGAAAUAACUCCCUCCUCCAUGACCGGGCCCCCUGCCCCACAAUCCACUCCCCCAUCUCCUCCACAUUGCAUUUCAAAAAAUUUAAACUGAUAAAGCCAACUAAAUCUUGAAGCCAAUGAACCAUCAUCAAUCCAACUAUCAUACCAGAGAUAUGUUUCCCCUCAGUUUUCGACCAACUUCAAUAUUGGGUUUGAUAACCACCUACGUACAACACCACUAACCUCCUGUCCAACAAGUUAAUAGCCUUCCACCGUAUAACGAGGGAUAGGAAGUUUUCACACAUGGUUGUGUGUAUGGUGUUCUAAUCCCCACCCCCUCUCUGUUUACUUUUCUUACACAAAACAAUUCCCUUGCUAUGCACAACAUUACAACACAAUCAUUUGCAACAAUGCAAUUAACACUCGUCUUCUUUGGUCACAUGGCUGAGAAGUCUUGAUCGAACUGAGUCCAAAUCUGACGCAUUCUUGAUGCUGCAAAUAUAACAUGUUAUGGAAGCUAGAAGAAUAAGAACAAAAUAAGGCCAUCAAAAGUUCUGAUGUUCUACCAAACUGCUAGGUUCUGCUAUUCCAUAAUAUAUCACAAGCAUAAAUUCAGAAUUCUGGCUCGAAUUUUCACAUCCCUAAUAUAGACUGAUAAUCUAAAAGAACAACAGUUUAUCAGUGAAAAAAAGAAUAAGACCCACCAGUACAUAGUGUCUCCGGAAGAUACCACCUUCUUGCAAGGCCAGUCUGGCACAAUCUUUUGCAAAAUCUCAAUCUGUUCUUCAGCUUCUCCUAUUGGGAGGACAACAUUAGUUAGCUACAUUGUUUAUUUCCAUGAAAUCGUGUGAAUUAUAAUAAAAUAGAAUUAGAACAUACCAAAUAUAGAGUCAAUUGCAUUAACCAGUUCCACCGAUGAUGAAGUUUCAUUAUCCGAUGCAUCCAAACCAGUUUUAUCCACGUUGGUUUCCUGAAAGGAAUGACUAAGGCUUUCUUCUACCUGCAUUGAGAAACUAAUUAACAAGAAACCAAUUAACAAGAAAAGUAUCAUUAUCCGAUGGAUGCAUCCAAUGUAUGAUUUUAAGACUAAGUCCAAAAUUUAAACGAAAACAAGAUGGCAGGUAUACCCCUUGAGGCAGGGAAACAGAAUCAAAAGAUCUGCAGUCGUCAGAACAUCCUCUGCUAGGUUUAGACAUGUCUACUAUUGUCCAUAUCAUCACUGCCGUUUGUGAGUAUAAAGUCGAGAACUCUUUUUGCAGGCUUAAAACACGACGCAGAGUUUUGGGAAGUCAUUUUCUGAAGGUUAACAUCAGACCCGAGCAACAAUCUCUCAGGUGCUGACUGUGCAUGAGUAUGCGUCAACAAACUAUCUGUAAAGAGACAACUUUCAAAUCAGGGCUUUCAGCACCGCUAACAGAAUGUGGAGGGCAGAUAUUAUGUACUGACGUAUUAAUAACAUUUGGUUAAAUACUCACAAUGAUUUGUUCUGCUUUCCGCUUUCUGAAUUAAGAUUUUACUCACACAAUCAGACAAUGUUGUACAUUCUUUCUACCGCAUGCUUUGACCUUCUGUGCUAUCUAGGCAGUCUAACUUAAAUGUAAGUUGUUCACCGACAGUUCAAUUUCAAUGAAAUUUCUGUGCUAUCUUUGAAAAUCAAGUUACAAGCUCUUUGGCUAAAGGGCUGUGGUGGUGUGGCCUUAGGAAUAUCAGAACCCUUAUAUCCACACAAAAAAAUAAAAAAUAUCAAUAUUAAAUUGAUGAAAUCAAUUCUUUUGCAGAAAUCAUACUUUCAAACUUCUCUACUUAACUAGAAAAAAAAUAUAUAUAUCUGAGCAAUACACAAAGAUAAGCGGUUGAAAAAAUGUUACCUUAGGAUGUAGAUAAUAGAAAUUAAUCAGCCUGGAAUUAAAACAUCGACUAAUAGCCAUAUAAGCAGAUUGUUCCGACUUCAGAGUGAUCUUCUACAACUUCAGAUAACAAGUUUAUCUUCAAAUCCGGCUUCAAACAUAAGCUCUUAUCAACAUAAAUAACCAUUUCAAUUUCUAUUCAUUCAGGGAGUAUAUACCACAGACACAGUCACUUCCUUAAACCAUCAAUCAAAGGAAAAUGAUCCUCUACAGUCUAUAAUUCAACUGAAUAUGGUGCAUUUUAAUGUUGACAAUUUUGGAUUACGGAAAAUAGCAUUUCGUUCAAAUUUCUUUGCGCUACAUAUUUUAAACUGUUUUAAAUAGUGUAUUUUUACUAUUAAUAGGGGUAAUAUUUUUGUUAUUAGGAGUAAUCUUUUAUUUUUAUCAGUAAGUUAUAUUCGACCCAUUAGCUCAUUAAGUUAUUGGUUGUGCAUUUUUUUUUUUUGAAGGAGGUUGUACAUUAUUUAUAACUUGAAAUAAGUUAUUAUUCAGUUUUACAUAAACGUAUAGAGAUCUACAAUAUAUAGUACAUCUCCAGUAGAAUCAUACCAUUUACAGAUCAAGUCUGUCACAUACUUCUCCAAAAACUCAACCAGUUUUCACUUCUUCUACAGAGAGAUUACAGCUAACCAUGAUUAGUUAGCUACUCAAUUUAUUAAUAACAAGAAUCCGAACAUACUAAUCUUAUAAAAAAAAACUGUUCAGAGUGUUUUUGACAGAAUGCAUGUAAUAGCGUAAAACCACUUUAAUCUCACCCUGCAAUGAUGGAGAUUUUUCAUGCCUUGCAUUUAAACUAGUGUUGUUUGGAUUGGUUUUCCAGAAGCACAGUGACCAAUGCUCUCUUCUACCUGCAUUGAGAAACCAAGUUACAUCAACGAAAUCAUUUCCAAGAGAAAAAUGUCAAUAUAAUAAUUUGUGAGAAACAUAUUUUAGAACUCUUCCAUGAUUUUCUGAAGUGCGUAUAUGAAAAGAAAUUUUAUACGCAAGCUUAUGUUGAAUUUUAACAAUUAUUAAAAUUAGCCAAAAAACUAAAGAUUUCUGGAAAAAUGUCAACUUGUCAAAAAAAUUGCAUAGUCCAACCUAUAAUUGUGAACACAUAGAAAGAUCUAUCAUAAAAUAGUGAAACAAAUUAAUUUUUUACAUUACAGGAAGCAAGAUUUAUGACAAUUUCGUAAAAUGAAUGAUAUACUUACUUCAACAUCUUGGCUGUAACACAAUGGUUAGCAUCGUUAAUUUUCUGGGUUACUGAAUCAAAUAUCCUUCAUGUUACUUUUCUCUUUCAGUACACGUGAAGACUACAACUUGUAACAGGCAAGGUUUUAAGUUUUCCAAAAAACCUGUCAACCACAAGUGGAAAACUCUCAAGACUAUAACAACAUGAAAGUUCAAGUGUUUCUAGUGAAUCCAACUUGAGAGGGGGAAUACUCCUUAGAUUGGUACAACCUCUAACAUUCAUGGUUUUAAGCUUAUCACCAAACCCAUCUACCCCAGGUUGAAAACUCUCAAGACCAGUACAAUCCGAAAGAUCUGGUUUCUUUUGGAGAAGGUAACAUGAGAGAUGGAAUAAUUCUGAUUUUAAGUUCUCCAACAUAUCUAUUCACCAUGAGAGCAAAGCUUUCCGGAGCAUCACAAUAUGAAAGAUCGAAUUCUUCCAGUGAAGCAAAACUGAGGGCUAGAAAACUCCAGAUUUUGGCGCAAUGUAUAAAUCUCAAGAUUUGAAGUCUACCUAAAAAAACAACCGAUUUAUCAAUUGCAAUUAGUUCCUUAUAACUUUGAAUUAAAAAUUCUUCUAUGUUUGGGAGACCAGUUAUAUCAGAUAUUUGUGCUAAAAGAUCACUAUUAUCAAGAUUUAAAACUCUCGUAUUCCGGAACUUCUGCAAAAAAACCAAAAUGAAAAUAGAAAAACAUGCAAAUAAGUAAGAAAUAUAUGAAAAAUAUUAAAACGGAUUUAUUCACAUAAGAUCAGAGAUAUAAAUACGUUACACUUGCCUUUGUGAGAAAUCCCUUCCACUCAAAUGGAUUUGAUGAAGAUGGAAAUCUGAUGAAGGAUGUUUGCGACAUUUCAACACUUAGAGUAUUUGGAAGAUGUUUGGGACUUUUCGAAAAGCCAACAUCAUUACUAAAAAUGAGUGUUUUUCAGAUUUACCAUCUUUUUUAAAGUUUUCCAUUCUACUCUAACCCGACAGUCAAAAACUAUGAUUUCAAUUUUACUUGUUCCCUAUAAACAAAAAAGGAAAAAUCAAUGAAAUCAUUAUACACAUGAAUUCCGAUGUGUUGUCACAUCAGUUAAUGAGAAUUGAUAAGUCAUGUGUUUUUAAUUCAUUAAAUAAUAUGACAACACAUAAUUAAAUAUAUAUAUAUAUAUAUAUAUGUGUGUGUGUGUGUGUGUGUGUGAAAAAAUUCCACUGACAAUUUAUAUAAAUUAAAUUCAUACAAAGGUAAAAAUAAUUGUGAUCUUAUGACAAUUAGUAACAUCAAUAAUGCAGAAAGCCAAAAGGGAACUCUAGUAUUAACAACAGGAAUCAAAGUUAAAGAUGAAAAACUAAAACAUCCAUAUCAUUAUUAGUGAAAAACAUUAGCAACACAAAUCCAACCAACAAAUACCAUGCAAUGCAGAGCAUUACCAAUAUUGAUUUGCAAUGCCACAAAUAACAUUCCUUAUCAUUUAACAAAAGCCUUUCACUCAUCUCCUUUGAUCACAUUGCUGAGAAGCCUUGGUCGAACUGAGUCCAAAUCUAAUGCAUUCUUGACACUGCAAAUAUAAAAGGUUUUAUCAGUGAAAAAAAUAAAUAAAGGGACCCACCAGUACAUAGUGUCUCUAGAAGAAAUCACCUUCUUGCAAAGCCAUUCUGGCACAAUCUUUUCCAUAAUCUCAAUAUGUUCUUCAGCUUCUCCUAUUUGGAGGACAAGAUUAGUUAUCUAAAUUGUUUAUUACUAAGAAAUUGUGUACAUUAUAAUAAAAUACGAUUAGAACAUAUUAAUCUCGACAAAAUCUAAACAGUUUAUCAUUACCUUUUGCGAGAGCUCCUCUUUUGUGAUUGAAAUUAUUUUGACAGAGCCAAAUAUAGAGUCAUUCACAUUAACUAGUUCCACCAUUGAUGAAGGUUAUCCGAUGCAUCCAGACCAAUUUGAUUUAUGUUGGUUUUCACAAAAGAAUGAGUAAGGUUCUCGCCUAUUUGUUUGGAGAAACCAAUUAUCAAGAAAUCAAUUACUUUCAUGAGAGAAAAAAAUGCUUUCAAAAUAAAAAAAAUAAAAAAUUUAAGGAAAAUAAUGUCGAUAUCAGAUGCGAAGUGUGGAAGUAAGGGAUAUUAGAUAUCAAGAAUAUGCUUAAGUAUGAACUGUGAAAAAAUUUCUUUUACAAUAAAAAAGUUUUAAGGAAAAUAAUUUUAAUAGCAGCGCUUACAAGAGAUUCCUCUAAGCUCUAGAGAACGUCGAAUCAUCAUAAGUUGGAGUGAUGAAUCCUGGCCCCUUCUACUAUCACUAUGAUAGAAACGGAAUAGAGAGCCACUCAAGAGAGCAUGACGAAUAGGGACCAAAGCAGCACCAGAUUCAGGACUAAAUCCACUGCGCUACCAGAAAACCUCGAUUCGGAACACCAACCGAAUCCUCAACUGACUUCGGAACAGGUUCGAGAGAUACUACUAAAAUCCCGGUUUUUGCAACAACAGUUGCGUGAAUAAGAGUCAAGAAGACCUUAUGAAAAUUGAACAUUUUCGCCUUCCUUACAGUAGUAGCUGUGGGAAUAGUCGCCAAAUAGACUGAAUUAGUCUUAGUGCCGUAGUAGGAUUACCUUCGUCACCUUCCCUCCGUCCCUUAACUGCUGAAUCCAUAGGAACCUUGGCUUAGUGCCAGAACUGUAUGCGGCGGAUGAUUGGUAUGCAGGAUCGGUGAAACUACUAACUGAAUUGCCCUAAAAAAUUUAUUUUUCCACAGGACUGAAUCCAUAGAAACCUUGGCUUAGUGCCAGAACUGUAUGCGGCGGAUGGGACAUGUAGCUUACCGAAUCAGUUGCGACACCAAUGGGAAUGCAUGCUACGAAAGAUAGGGUUGAGUCUGAAACAUCAACCGUCUACUCAAUAUCCUUGUAUGAGUCCACAAUCACUACACGAUUGUGUGAUUCAUAUCCACCAGUUCAGAUCCUUGCUCAUCAGUGAGAAAAUGGCUUAGCAGUGUAUUCUCGGCGUCAAUACGCAAACUCCUGGGAAGGUAAAGUGCAUCAGAUGCAAAGUGUGGAAGUAAGGGAUAUUCGAUAUCAAGAAUAUGCUAAGUAUGAACAAUUAUAAACACACGGCACAAGCAUAUAGUUGUGAACUGUGAAUGAACAAGAGAUUUGAAUGGAGCAAGAACAUGUGAGAAUACUAAGAAAAUACAAAAUGAAUAAAGUGCAGUUAGUAAAUCCAUUUCUUGUAAACCCAUUAAACAAACUAUUUGACGCAGCCAAUCGAAUAAAUUGACUAAACCAAUAAUAUAAGCAUGUUAGAAAUAAAAAGCAUCACUUCUAUAAUUUUUGUAUAACCAUCCUCAAUGUUUUACUCUAAAUCUUCGACUUGUUUCUCACCCAAUAUGUUCAUUAUCUUAUAACAACCUCUAAAGCUCCACUUUUUCAUGCAUGAAUAUAUGAUGAGUACCCCACUUACUAGUUAGAAUUUAACAUGAACUACUAAAUAUCAGGAAAAUAAAUUGCUUUCUUUGCAAGUUCUCCGGCAAGGAUAGAUUGAAAGGAACAAAAUAGAAUAACAAGUGAAUAUCAGAUUAUGACUUUAGGGAUAAGUCGAAAAUUAAAACAAAAACUAGAUAGCAGGCGCAUACCUCCUAAGGUGGACAAACAGAAUCAAAAAGAUUUGAUGUCUUCAGAACAUCCUCUGCUAGUUUUAGACAUGUCUACUCUAUUAACCAAAUCAUCACUGCCUUCUGUGAGUGUAAUGUCAAGCCCUCUUUUUGUAGGCUUAAAACACGACACAGGCUUUUUGGCAGUCAUUUUCUGAAGCUUAACAUCAGAAGCUAGCAACAAUCUCUCAGGUGCUGACUGUGCACGAGUGUGUGUCAACAAACCAUCCAUACAAGAAACAAUUUUCAAAUCAGGGUAUUCAACGUGGCUAACAAAUGUGGAGGGGAGAUCUCAUGUGCUGGUGUAUUAAUAACAUUUCGUUAAAUACACAUGGACAGUGAUUCCUUCUGCUUGCCUCUUUUUACAUUAUUAUUCACACAAUUAGACAAUGGUGUACGUUCUUUCUGCCAUGGGCUUUCACUUUGUUGGUUAUCCAGCCAGUCAGAUUCAAGAGUGUGCAGAUUCUUUCCAAAUUUUGGGGGGAUGAAGUAGAAGAGGGUGAGGAUCACAUCUCUGAGGCACCCGUGUCUUCCAACAAGAUUGUGGAUCCAAAGGUUAUUCAAAAGUGGGCUAACACUCUGGUGCUCACUCCUAUGGUUAUGCCGGUCACAGUGAUGGAGGAAACUCUCAGCCAUGACAAGAGACCGGAGAUGGAAGAGGACAAUGUUGAAGCCAUCCUAUCAGACUUUGAGCGGCAAUGGAAGAGGACAAUGUUGAUCAGAAAAAGAUUCAUGGGAUGACAGAGAGUUUUCAGAUGAUGAAAAGCUCUGAACUUGCUCAGUCUCGCUAGCAACAUUCUUCUGAGAAAAAUGACUUUUAAAAGAAGGACUCAGAUGUAAGUUUUUCAUUGGACAGUUCAAUUUCAUUGGAAGUUGAUGAACGUUCUGUUGACAAAUUUACAGGUCCAUCUUUGAAAAUCAAGUUCGAAGGUACAUCUUUGAAUAUCUGUCCCCUUUAUAUCCACAUUCAAAAGGAAAAUCAAAAUUAAAGUGAUGAAAAACAAUUUUUUGCAUACUUCUAAGAACAAAAAUAAAUAUAGCAGACCCAAAGAAUAGCAGUUGUCAAAAGGUAAGCACAAUCAGUUGCCAAAAAAUCACAUUUACUUUCUCAUAAUUUUUAAGAACAUUUUCAACCAAGUAUAACAUGCUUAAUGCUUACAUAAUCAUCGAUAUAUUUUCAACUAAAUAUCAUAUAAUACCUUAUUACUAUCAUUAAAACAUUUUUAAUUAAUUAUAACAUGUUUACAUCUACCUACCAUAUGGAAUCACAAAUCACAGCAUAGAGUACAUGAGCAUAGGAGAAGUUUCUGAAAAUAAAACACACUACCGAUAUUCCAAAAAGAAAAAAACACUAUCAUCUGAGUCCAAAUCAUAUUAUUCAAAUCAGGAUGAGCUACACCCCUUGUAUAAACUAAGAUCCAAUGGGACAAGAAACAAAGAUGAACGGUACAAAAUUGCAUAAAACUUGUAAAAAAAGGAUUAGUUUAUUUACAGCACCAUAACAAAAAAAAGGCAGUUUGGCCUUAAAAUUUUCCAAAUUCGCAACUGUUAAAUUUUCAUUUUGAAUAAAACUGGAAAAUUCCAAAGAGACAUACACUAUGAGAAACUUACAAUCUGUUCAGUUUCAUCAGGUUGUCUUUGGUAGUUGUCAUAUGCUUCAGCAUCAUGCACAAACAAGCUAGCAUUGGACAAAAACAGCUCACGACUUCUGCAUUUAAGAAGAUAAUACCCAUUUUCAAAACACGUUAAAAAAGAUUCAUAUGUGAAUGAUCGGGAACAGAUAACGGACAUACCUCAUACAGUCUGUUGGGCAGCCAAACUGGCAUCACUCUUGUCCAAUUUUUUUCUUCUUGCAUUGAUAGAACAACUUAGGAGUUAUAGGAGUUGCAGUAUUCACUUGGGAACACUAAACUAUGUUAUAUAUUAUGUUAGAAUGCCUGAUGCAAUAAUCAAAUGACGAUGCUUCUUGUAAGGGGAAAAAACAGUUCACCUGCUUUUCGAUCUCUUCCUCAAUUGGCAUUUUCUGAGAUUCUUCCUGGUGGAAGUGCAUGUCUAUAGAUACAAUUCUUACCAAAACCAACCAUAUUGCUUACUCUCUACCGCGUCCAAAAAGUGUUUGCAUACCUAAACAAAGUACAUAAACAAUGUACAGAGGUUAUUUCCAGUUGAAUAAGUAAGAACGAAAAUAUGCUUUGAAUAAUAAACAAAAAUCAAACAUUAAAAAGAAGCCUCGAAUUAGCCAUAAAAAAUGAAAGGGGACUGAUAUUCCAGCAUAGAGUACCGGUAUUCCAAAUAUCAGUCCCUUCCUUAAUCUAUCAUUAAAAGGGGACUGAGAUUCCAUCAUAGAGUACAUGAGCAUAGGAAAUGGAUCCUUUAUAGUCUAAGUGCAUAUUUGGUUUCACGGUGAGUUUUCCGAAAUCAAGGUGGCACCAUGAUUUUGUAGAAGCUCCAAAGCGUAACCUAUGCAAAAUCACGGUGGCACAACGUCAUUCUGUCAAACUCACAGUGAAUCCAUAGAUACACAAAACAGUAUCAUUGAUUGCAGAAAUCCAAAAAACCACCAUUUAGAACAGCCGUAAUCGACACAAAAUGUCAUGGCACCCCCAUCUUUAACAAAUUGGCCAUGGCAGUUGUCAAAAGUAUGCCAGCACAAUCCAUAUUUGACAACACUCAGUCUAAAAUUUACUUGCAUAUGGUGCACUUACACACAAACACAUACACGUAAAAUUAUUUUAACCUAUGAAGCACGAACACUCAUGCAUCAACAUCGAUAAUAAUUUGAGAAAAUGACAUAAUUCAUUAUAACCACAUGUGUCGGUGUUGUAUAAGACACUAACACACUUCGAACACCAAACACACCUUCAAACAUAAAUGUUUGUGCCAUAAGUUGUUGCUGUUACAGUCUCCAAAAACAAUUAAGGGAAAUAAUGUGAGGUCUUCAAUAAUUGUAAGGAAAUCCCAAAAGAGUAAUCGAAGCUUCCACCAUUAUCUUUUGAAAGAGCUCUCUAGGGAGAGGAGGGCAAAAAUUCAAUAUAUCAGCAUAAACAUACAAACCUAUAAUUGUGAUUUGGUAAAUACAUAGGAAAAUCUAUAAUAAAAUUAUGAAACAAAUUAACAUCCUACAACACCACGGAAACCUUUAUGACGAUGAAUGAUAUACUUACUUCAACAUCCCGAGUGUAACACAAUGUUGGCAUCAUUCUCUGGUGAAUUGAAUGUCUUUCAUGUUACUUUUCUCUUUCAAUACAUGGAUUCCACUAUUCUGGAAAGGGAAUCCAAAGUCAACCUCUGCAUGGUUCCACUUAUUUUCUAAAAGUGCUUUGUCUAUAUUAUCAUUGAAAUUUUCCAUUUGCAAAUGAAAAAGAUGCAAAUGUAUUUAUUUGGCUGUGGUUUUGUAUCAUCUGUAUAGAAAAAUGUAUCGCCGUUGAUGAUAAAUCUUACAGCACGGUAGUGUGAAUCAUCCCAUGUGAAUGGAGAAACAACACGAGCUAUGUCAGGAAACUUGUUACGAAACCAGAAGGAAAUUGACAAUCCUGCUUCGUAUAUGUGGUUGAACCACUCCGGAAUCUUUGGCACCCGUGGCAAACAAAACCAAGUGUUUCCUGCCUUAUGUAAUUCCUGUCAAUAAUAAAUAAUUAAUUUAAGUUUAACUAUAUCAAAAGGAAUAUAAAAUACAUUACAAAUAAAAAUAAAAAAAAUCAUAACCUGAUUUAGUAAUCUGCUUUUGCACGACGAAGUCAACGACAUGCAGUUUACUGCAGAUAACAUAAGCAUGGAGGAAUCACUUGAAUUUCCUGAAGUUCCUUACAAUCAUCCAAGACGAGUUUCCAUAACCCACCCACCACAAGUGAAAAACUCUUAAGAUUAUAACAACAUGAAAGGUUAAGUGUUUCUAGCAAAUCCAACUUGAGAGGUGGAAUACUUCUGAGAUUGUGACAACCUUCAACAAGCAAGGUUUUAAGUUUUCCAAGAAACCCGUCCACCACAAUUGGAAAACUCUCAAGACUAUGACAAUGUGUUAGGUCAAAUGUUUCUAGUGAAUCCAACUUGAGAGGUGGGACACUCCUCAAAUUGUCACAACUAUUAACAUUCAGGGUUUUAAGUUUUCCAAGAAACCCGUCCAUCACAAUUGGAAAAUUCUCAAGACUAUGACAAUAUGAAAGGUCAAAUGUCUCCAGUAAAUCCAACUUGAGAGGUGGAAUACUCCUGAGAUUCCGACAACUAUUUAUUAACAUUCAGGGUUUUAAGUUUUCCAAAAAACCCGUCCACCACAAUUGGAAAACUCUCAAGACCGUGACAAUGUGAAAAGUCAAGAGUUUCUAGUGAAUCCAACUUGAGAGGUGGAAUACUCCUGAGAUUGCGACAACUACUAACAUUCAGGGUUUUAAGUUUUCCAAAAAACCCGUCCUCCACAAUUGGAAAUCUCUCAAGACUAUGACAAACUUUUAGCAAUUGAAAGACACCUAAAUGUUGAAAAUUGGGGAUUAAUAUAGUAAAUAAACCAUAAUAGGCGUUGCUCAAUAGACUCUUCAAAAUUAUUCAUUUUUUUAAUAAAGGUUCAAAUUUUACACACAAAAACAAUCGAUCAAAAGUUAUGAUUGAAGCGGAGGCUAAAUUAAAGGGUCUAUUGAGCAACUAUAUGCAAUGAUAAGAGUCAUAUGCCUGUUGCCUGUUGGUUCCCGCAUUAAUAGUAGUCGUGUGACUGUCAUUACUUCCUACCUUCCUUAUUUGGAGCAUUUGAAGUUUUCAACCAUAAGUUGAAAAUAACUCAAUCAACAUUGGCCUCACCAGAAUUGGAAUUAGCAUUAAUAUUCAUCAAUACUCCUUCCGUUUUAAAAUGAGUGUCGCUUUAGUCAAUUGCACACGUAUUAAGGAAUGGAAUCAAGUAGUCAAAUGUUAUGGUAAUUUUACAUAAUUAUCCUAAUCAACUAUUAGUUUGUUUUUUAUUAAAGAAAAAAUAAUACUUUGAAAGUAGUGUAACAUAGUAUUAAUUGAAGGGUACAAUUGAAAAGAAAAAGUUAUUAUUGCAUUGGAAACGGAAAAUGACAUUCAUUUUGAAUUUUUUUUUUUGUUGCUAAAACGACACUUAUUUUAAAACGGAGGAAGUAUUAUUUAAGGGUCUUCCUACCUUGCUUAAAGGUCUUAUCCGUGUUACUCUUUAAACUUUAAACCAUUUUUUUUUACAAUAACUUUUAGAAAGAAAGGAGAGUGAAUUCAAUAUUUUUCACCACUUUUCAACACGUUAUUUUUAUUUUUGUACUCUAAAAAAUAAUAUAGUUAGGUAACUCGCAAUAUUAUGCACGCACACUCCCAGGAAAAUCAAAAUAAUUAUACUCAUACAUUCAUUUUAUAUUAAUCGUAGUGAAUACACCAAUACUUAAUAAUGUAGUUUUAUUUGUACAAAUAAACAACGUUAAUUUAAUAAAAUGACUAUCCCUUUUUUCCUUUAUAUCAUUCAUUAAUCUGUGUGAAAUAGUUGUUCGUGAGACAGAAUAUUACCAAAAAAGAAACUGAAACCGAGAUAGAGAAUACAGUAUGGGAAACUAAAAAGCUUAAGAACAACAAUUUAUAAAACCAGUUCUUACAAUCCCUUGUGUGCCAGCCAAGAUAUUCACUAUAGCCGGUUGUUGUAACUAAAACAAUAAGUCCAAAAGCCAAGGAUUUUGGCCACCAAUAACGCCAAGGGAGUAAGUGCAAAAAUCCAAUCAACAAUUACCAAGUAAUGCAGAGCAACAAUUUAUAUCAUUCAACAAAAGCCUUUCACUCAUCUCCUUUGUUCACAUUGUUGAGAAGCCUCAAUCGAACUGAGUCCAAAUCUGACACAUUCUUGACACUGCAAAUAUAACAGGUUUUAUAAACUACAAGCAUUAGUAACCAAUAACAUCAAAAGUUCUGCUAUUGCAACAAACUGCUAAGUUCUAUUAUUCCAUUACAUCCAUGAUAUAUGUAAUCGUCUUUUUUAAUAGCCCAAACAAGGCUGAAAUUUCAUGUUAAGUCAGACUCAAAUUUUCACAUCUCUAAAGGAACAAAGGUUUCAUCAGUGAAAAAAAGAAAGAGACCCACCGUACAUAGUGUCUCCAGAAGAAACCACCUUCUUGCAAAGCCAGUCCGGCACAAUCUUUUCCAAGAUCUCAAUCUGCUCUUCAGCUUCUCCUAUUAGGAGGACAAGAUUAGUUAGCUAGAUUCUUUAUUACUAAGAAAUCGUGUACAUUAUAAUGAAUAGAAUUAGAACAUACUAAUCUCAACAAAAUCUAAACAGUUCAUCAUUAUCUUUUGCAAGAGCUACUCUUUUGUGAUUGAAGUUCUUUUGACAGAGCCAAAUAUAGAGUCAAUAACAUUAACCAGUUCCACCAAUGAUGAAGGAUUGUUAUCCAAUGCAUUAAAAGAAUGUUGAUCUACAUUGAUUUUCUGAAAAGAAUGACCAAGGUUCUCAUCUACCUGCAUCAAGAAACCAAUUAACAAGAAAUCGAUUACUUUCACGAGAAAAAAAUUGCUUUAACAAUAAAAAAAAAUUAAGGAAAAUAAUGUUGAUCAAAUGCGAAGUGUGGAAGUAAGGGAUAUUAGAUAUCAAUAAUAUGCUUAAGUAUGAACAGUUAUAAACACAGAGCACAGGCAUACUUCUGAACAAUGAAUAAACAAGAGAUUUGAAUGGUGCAAGAACAUGGGAGAAUAGUAAGAAAAUACAAAAUGAAUGAAGUGCAGUUAGUAUAUCCCUUUAUUAUCGUCAAUCUAGAAAGAAAGGAUUAUUCUAAGGAAUCGACUAAACUAUGAUAUUAUAAGUAUGUUAUAAAUAAAAACGUUACCGUUUUUGUAUACCCAUCCUCGAUGUUUUACUCUCAAUCUUCGACUUGUUUCUCACCCAAUAUGUUCAUUAUCUCUAAAGCUCCUCUCUAGAAUUUAACAUGAACUACUAAAUGUCAGGAAAAUAAAUUGCUUCCUUUGCAAGCUCUCCGGCAAGGAUAAAUUGAAAGGUACAAAAUAGAAUAAUAAGUGAAUAUCAAAGUAUGAUUUUAGGGAUAAAUCGAAAAUUAAAACCAAAACUAGAUAGAAGGCGCAUACCUCCAGAGGUGGGGAAACAGAAUAAAAAGAUUUGAAGUUCUCGGAAUAUCCUCGGCUAGGUAUAGACAUGUAUACUCUAUUAUCCAAAUCAUCACUGCCUUCUGUGAGUGUAAAGUCAAGCACUCUUUUUGCAGGCUUAAAACACGACCCAGACUUUUGGGCAGUCAUUUUCUGAAGCUUAACAUCAGAACCGAGCAACAAUCUCUCAAGUGCUGACUGUGCAGGAGUGUGUGUCAACAAUCAGACAAUGGUGGACAUUCUUUCUGCCAUGUGCUUUCACUUUCUUUGUUAUCCAGCCAGUCAGAUUCUUGCUCAGUCUCGUUAGCAACAUUCUUCUGAGAAAAGUGUCUUUUAAAAGAUGGACUCAGAUGUAAGUUGUUCAGUGACAGUUCGAUUUCAUUGGAAGUUGAUGAAAGUUCAGUUGACAAAUUUACAGGUCCAUCUUUGAAAAUCAAGUUAUAAGGUCUUUGGCUAAAGAGCUCUGAUAGUGUGGCCUCUGGAAUAUCAGUCCCCUGAUAUCCACAACAAAAAGCAAACACAAAAUUAAAAUUAAAAUCAAAAUUAAGGUGAUGAAAUCAAUUCUUCUGCAUACUUCUAAGAACAAAAAUAAAUAUAGUCGAUCUUUUAAGAGAUGGAGACAAAUGUAAGUUGUUCAGCGACAGUUCAAUUUAAUUGGAAGUUGAUGAAAGUUCUUUUGACAAAUUGACAGUUCCAUCUUUGAAAAUCAAGUCAUAAGGUCUUUGCAAAAAGGGCUCUGGUAGUGUGGCCUCUGGAAUAUCAGUCCUCUUAUAUCCACAAUAAAAUGCAAAAGAAAAAUUAAAGUGAUGAAAUCGAUUCUUUUACAUACUUCUAAGAACAAAAAUAAAUAUCGCGGAACCAGAACCAAAGAAAAGCAGUUGUCAAAAGAUAAGCAUAACCAGUAGCAAAAAAAUCUCAUAAAUCAUAAUCAUCAUUACAUUUAAAACCAAGUAUAACAUGCUUAUGUAAUCAUCAAUGAUCCAAUAUAUUUUCAACAAAUAUCAUACAACACCUUAUUAUUAUGAUUAAUACAUUUUCAACUAGUUAUAACAAGCUUCCAUCUACCUACCAUAUGGAAUCACAAAUCACAACACAGAGUACUAUGCAGAGAAUGAAAAUCUAAAUGUCACGACAGUAGUACAGAUUAAAGAAAGGGAAAUGUUAACUAGUGCCCCCGGGGCACUGGUUAAGGACUUUAAAUGGUAACCUUUUAUGAAAGUUUGUGUAAUAAAGUGCAUUGGAAAUUGAAAACUUUGACAUUUUAAAAAAAUAAUUGCUGAAUUUAGAAUGCUUAAAAAGUGUCAUGGAGGCACUCGUUAAGAUGGUGUAAAUUGCUCAUUCAAAUACAUAAACACAAUCAAUAAAAGUAACACCCCUAAAUCAAAAAAUGUUACCUCAGGAUGCAGAUUAAAGAAAUUAAUCAGCCUGUAAUUAAAAUAUCGUAUAAGAGCCAAAUCAUCAGACUGUUUGGAGUAAUCUUCUACAACGUCAAAUACCAAGGUUAUCUUCAAAUCUGGUUUCAUUCACAAGCUCUUCUUAUCAACAACAACCACCUUUUCAAUUUCUAUACUUGCAAGGAGUAUUUAUUUUAUUUGCGCUAGAUGAGCAUAAGAGAAGUUUCUGAAAACAAAACAGACUACAGUCACUUCCUUAAUCCAUCAACCAAAGGAAACGGAUCCUCUACAAUUAACACUUUGACCACGUAUGGUGAACUAUAGUGAAGUCAAUCACGGAUCUCAGAAAAAAGCAGUUUGUUCAAAUUUCGCUACACUACAGUGCCAUAGCAUUAGACUCUAUUUGACAACACUUUGAACUAAAUCACAUAUCGCGGAACAAUAUCAAUUUGUUAAAAUUCUACUUCGGUAUGGUGCUUCUAUAUGCACUACUUGAAACCACUGACACAUUUACACACAAACUCAUACACACAUACACCUUUGUAGCACCAAUAAUUUUGAUCAAAGGUGUGUCUAGUUUCCAACACUACACAUUUGAUUACAUUCAACCAUGUCACUUAUUCAUAUAAUUACUAGUGUCCACAUGUGAGUGUACAUAUAACAGUACUUCAUAGAAUGGAAAAUACACACACAUAAAGAUUAUUUUAAUGAGAGGGAAAAAUCAACAUACAACCUUAAAGUGGUUAGUAUCCAUAAAUGAAUAAAUUAAAUUUGAGGGAAUUUGAAAACAAAACAAUCACCUCUUCGCAAGAACUUCAACCUUGGUGCAAAUAUUUUUGAAAAGUUGUUGACUUUUUACGCAGAUGCAACAAUCUAAGUGCACAACUCAUAUCACUUCACAAAUCAGCAAAGGUCAUGUACCUGUAUCAAAAUAAAUACAAAACAUUCAAAAAAAAAAAACUUCAAAUUCGAUUGUUUUUCUAUAAACAUUGAAAAAAUGUUAAUUUAAUUUUGGGUUCAUAAUGGUUAAUUUAAUUUGGAAGCUGGGUGAGUGGAUUCUUGAAAUUGAUGGGUAAUAAUGGUUCAGUCUUCUUUGGAGUAAGACAUACAAUUGAUUUAUCAACUAUGUGGAGAAUCUUCUCACAGUUGAAAUCUGAAGUUUCUUUCACUGAUUAAUCCAAAAAUUCAAUAUUUGGUGAGUUAGACAUACAAAAAUUAAAUAUUUCUGCCAAAACUUGUAACAAAUUAACAUCCUACAACACUAGAGAGAAAAUUUUAUGACUAUCUGGGUAAAAUGAAUGAUAUACUUACUUCAACAUCCCGAGUGUAACACAAUGUUAGCAUCAUUCGCUGGGUUGGUGAAUCGAAUAUCCUCCAUGCUAUUUUUUUCUUUCAAUACAUGGACUCCACUAUACAUGAAUGCAGAGACACCAAAAUAAAUCUCUGCAUGGUUCCACUUAUUUUCUAAAAGUGCUUUGUCCAUAUUAUCAUUGAAGUUCUCCGUUUGCAUAUGAAAAAGAUGCAAAUGAUACAUAUCCGGCCGUUGUCUCCAACAUAUCUCUGAAUUAGAUUUAUAGAUAAAACUAUUGCCGUUGAUGCUCACUCUUAUACCAUGAUAUCCAAACCAAAAUGUCAAUGGAGAAACAACACAAAGAGCUAUGGCAGGAAAUUUGUUACGAAACCAGAAAGAAAUUGACAAUCCUGCCUCGCAUUUGUGGUCGAACCACUUUGGAAUCUUUGGAACCCGUGGCAAACGAAAGCAGGUGUUUCUAGCCUCAUGUAAUUCCUGUUAGUAAAAAAUAAUUAAUGUAAGUUUAACUAUAUCAAAAAGAAUAUAAAAUACAUUACAAACAAAAAAAAAAGAAUCAUAACCUGAUUUAGUAAUUUGCUUUUGCACGACGAAGUCAACGAUAUGCAGUGUACUGCAGAUAACACUCUUAAGCGUGGAGGAAUCCCUUUAAUUUCGUGAAGUUCCUUACAAUCAUCCAAGACAAGUUUCCAUAAAAAUUGACAUUUUUCAAUAGAUUUAGGAAUAAUUGUGAGUUGAUUGUUUGUUAGGUGUAAUUCUUUCACAUUGGCAAACAACAUAAGAGUUUUUGACAAUAAUUCAUCUGAAAGUUUAGCAUUCCUGACACAAAUAUACUUUACAUUUGAAGAUUGCAUUGAAUUCACUUUUUCUUCAUUCAUGAUGGUAAGCUUAGGAUGAUUUCCAUCUGAUCGGUUAUCAUACUGACAGUCACAUGGGUGAAAUGUUGGAGGCUGAGUAAGAUUGUGAAAUUGAAACGAUGAUUCUAUACUGGGAGUGUCAUCCAAGAGGAGUCCUGGUAUAUUUCUCAUCUCUCCCAAUAUUUCUGGAAAACUCUCAAGACUAUAACAACAUGAAAGAUUGAAAUAUUUCAAAGAAGUUAACCUGAGCUGUGGGAUACUCCUAAGCAUGAUGCAGAAUUCAAUAUUCACGAAUUUAAGUUUAUCCAACAACUCAUCCCGCACACUUGAAAAACUCUCGAGCAUAAAACAAUUUGAAAGGUCAAGUUCUUGUAGCAAAUCCAACUUAAGAGGUGGAAUACUUCUGAGAUUGUGACAAUUUUUAACAAGCAUGGUUUUAAGUUUUCCAAGAAACCCGUCAACCACAAGUGGAAAAUUCUCAAGACUAAAACAACAUGAAAGAUCAAGUGUUUCUAGUGAAUCCAACUUGAGAGGUGGAAUACUCCUGAGACUGAAACAGUUUGUAACAAGCAUGGUUUUAAGUUUUCCAAGAUACUCGUCCACCACAAGUGGAAAACUCUCAAGACUAUGACAAUCUGAAAGUUCUAGUGUUUCCAGUGAAUCCAACUUAAGAGGUGGAAUACUUCUGAGAUUGCGACAACAUUUAACAUUCAGGGUUUUAAGUUUUGCAAGAAAUGUGUCCACCACAAGUGGAAAACUCUCAAGAGUAUCACAACAUGAAAGUUCUAGUGUUUCUAGUGAAUCCAACUUGAGAGGUGGAAUACUCUUGAGACUGUGACAAUUUUUAACAAGCAUGGUUUUAAGUUUUCCAAGAUACUCGUCCACCACAAGUGGAAAACUCUCAAGACUAUGACAAUUCGAAAAUUCUAGUGUUUCUAGUGAAUCCAACUUGAGAGGUGGUAUAAUUCUGAGAUUGCGACAACUCUUAACUUUCAAGGUUUUAAGCUUUGCAAGAAAUAUGUCCACCACAAGUGGAAAACUCUCAAGAGUAUCACAACCUGAAAGUUCUAGUGUUUCUAGUGAAUCCAACUUGAGAGGUGGAAUACUUUUGAGAUUGUGACAAUUUUUAACAAGCAUGGUUUUAAGUUUUCCAAGAUACUCGUCCACCACAAGUGGAAAACUCUCAAGACUAUGACAAUCUGAAAGUUCUAGUGUUUCUAGUGAAUCCAACUUGAGAGGUGGAAAACUUCUGAGACUGCGACAGCUUGUAACAAUCAUGGUUUUAAGUUUUCGAAGAUACUCUUCCACCACAAGUGGAAAACUCUCAAGACUAUGACAAAAUGAAAGUUUUAGUGUUUCUAGUGAAUCCAACUUGAGAGGUGUAAUACUCAUGAGACUGCGACAGUUUGUAACAAGCAUGGUUUUAAGUUUUCCAAGAUACUCGUCCACCACAAGUGGAAAACUCUCAAGACAAUGACAAUCUGAAAGUUUUAGUGUUUCCAGGGAAUCCAACUUGAGAGGUGGAAUACUUCUGAGAUUGCGACAACAUUUAACAUUCAGGGUUUUAAGUUUUGCAAGAAAUGUGUCCACCACAAGUGGAAAACUCUCAAGAGUAUCACAACAUGAAAGUUCUAGUGUUUCUAGUGAAUCCAACUUGAGAGGUGGAAUACUCUUGAGAUUGUGACAAUUUUUAACAAGCAUGGUUUUAAGUUUUCCAAGAUACUCGUCCGCCACAAGUGGAAAACUCUCAAGACUAUGACAAUCUGAAAGUUCUAGUGUUUCUAGUGAAUCCAACUUGAGAGGUGGAAUACUCUUGAGAUUGUGACAAUUUUUAACAAGCAUGGUUUUAAGUUUUCCAAGAUACUCGUCCGCCACAAGUGGAAAACUCUCAAGACUAUGACAAUUUGAAAGUUCUAGUGUUUCUAGUGAAUCCAACUUGAGAGGCGGAAAACUCCUGAGACUGCGACAGCUUGUAACAAUCAUGGUUUUAAGUUUUCGAAGAUACUCUUCCACCACAAGUGGAAAACUCUCAAGACUAUGACAAAAUGAAAGUUUUAGUGUUUCUAGUGAAUCCAACUUGAGAGGUGGAAAACUUCUGAGACUGCGACAGCUUGUAACAAUCAUGGUUUUAAGUUUUCGAAGAUACUCUUCCACCACAAGUGGAAAACUCUCAAGACUAUGACAAAAUGAAAGUUUUAGUGUUUCUAGUGAAUCCAACUUGAGAGGUGGAAUACUCCUUAGCUUGAUGCAAUGUCUAACACUCAUUAUUUUAAGCUUAUCACCAAAGUCAUCUAUCACAGGUGAAAAAUUCUCA